rnacentral:lncRNA from 1 species
CCAAAGUCACCAACAACUGCUUCAAAAUCUUCAUCCAAUAGUACGUUGGCAGCCUUCACAUCCCGAUGAAUAAUCUUAGGAUUGCAAUGUUCAUGAAGGUAUUCAAGUCCACGUGCUGCACCUAAGGCCACCCUUUUUCUUGUUGCCCAAUCUAGAACAGGCUCCUCAGGUUUACGUUCUGCACCCAAGAUUAAAACAAGUCAACCUAACACCAACGGCCGUUAUCUUUUUAACUGGACAAGAAUUGUACAAGAUGUAUAACCUCUGUCCCACUACAAGUGUUGUUUAAGUUUUUUUUUUUUUUUUUUUUUUUUUUUUUUUUUUUUUUUUCAUAUCCCACUUCAUUUGUCAAUUUAGAAAAAGCAUUAUUACUUGUUUCAACCUUUACCCUUUAUGUUUGAUAUUUCCACUAAAUAAGCAUUAAUUAUUUAUAGAGUUGAUAUAAGAGUAUGUAUUCAAUUACAACUAUUUUUCACUGAAAUUAAGGUUAUUUAAUGAUUUUCUUAAUCCUUGUGCAAUUAUCUCAAACAACACUUGGGACGGAAGUAAUAUAUAUAUAUAUAUAUAUAUAUAUUAUUGAAUUCAAUGUCCUAUUUUAAAUUACAUGUGAAAGAGGCGCACAAGGUUCAUAGGAAUCAUAUUCCUUAAGAAUUCGAUAAUACAAUGUAUACUGGGUUUCCUAAUCCUUGGCAAUAUAGAUCAGUGCUAUAACUAUUUUCAUGAUCGGAACAUAGUUUAUAAUUCCUAUUCAAAUACAAAAUUCUUAGUAAACAUACUGUACCAUGUCAAUUGCAGACAAAGCCUUUCCCAAUGACACAGUGUUGUUAAAUGAUAAUUAAAAAUCAAAUAUUAACAUUCAGCUGAAUGGUAAAUUCUCAAGUUCAACAUGGAUGAGUGUUUGAAAUUCACCAUCUUUCAAUAACUAUCUAAUUUAUUAGGUUUAGCAUACAGCUUCCAUGGUUGACAGUCGAAAUAAAAUUUUCUCAUUCAAACAUCCAACUUCCUCUUGUCCUCCACCAUGUCCCUGAUAAUAUGGAUUUAUCCUUGCCUAAUCUCUGUAAUAAAAGAAAUCUAGAACGACAUACUAAGUUGAUAGGGAAUAUAUGGUCUACUCCAAAAUUAUCUAUUGAGCAGCUAGACACUCUUUGAAGUUAUGGAAUGUAGUACAAAGCAUAGUGAUGGCAGACGACUUGUUGGCUCAAUGGUCAAUUUCUAAUCUCAGAUUUUGAUGAUUAAAAUAAAACAAAUAAAUUUAAAUUAUCUUUGUGCUAAUAUUAUUUUAUGCAAAAUCCUUAUGGGAAGAAAUCGUACAAGGCAAGUCCUACAUAGUGUGUGAAGAUAUUCGAAGACCCUAGUGGUUAGCUAUUUAGGAUACUUUGUAGGAUAGAGAGAAAAUUCAUAUAUGAGCACAUAAAUUAAUUUUUCUCUCAACAAAAAUAUUUUUCGGAAAUUAGAUUUUCCAAAAUAAAUUCUUUUCGAAAAAUAUUCUUUAAAGUUAAAAUGAUUUAAUUUCCUAAAACUAAAGAGAUUACGUCUCUAAAUGUUUUUGGUAAUAAAUCAUACACUUUACUUUUCGGAAAUAUCUUAUGAAAAUCUAAAUGAACUUCAAUUUAUUCUCUUACCUUAAAAUGAAGGGAGAAUCUUUUCGUUUUUAGUAAGAGCAACCUAUUCGAAAAAUAUUUUCCAAAUAAAAAUGCUUUCGAAAAUCUUUUUUGAUUAUAAGAAAAAUCGUCUUUCAUUCUUCUUACCAAAAAGGAUAAGAUAAACUUUUGGUAACUAAAGAUUUUCGUAUCUUCUAAACAAGGAAAGCAAAUAUUCUGAUUUCAAAUGAAAUAUCCACUUUCCAAAAGUAAGAGACACGAUGCUCUCUAUAAAUAGGAGCUUUCACGUCUUGAGCCAUGGUGAAGUAAGAGUUUUCGUUUUAAGAGCAUUCUCUCAUUGAUCAAAUCUUUUUCUCUCAAAACUUACUCUCUACCCCCAUUUUUCUUUUCAUCUUUACACUUCACGUUUUUAUCUUUAAAGAGAAAAGAAUGUUAUUAACUACUUUUGAAAAACGGUUCUGUGUUCUAAACGAUUUUCUAAUCUGAUAAACUGUUUUUCAUGUGCUUAUAUGUGCAUUUCUUUCUGUCUAUUUAGAUUCUGUAAUCUAUAGUAGACAGGCUUUUNNNNNNNNNNNNNNNNNNNNNNNNNNNNNNNNNNNNNNNNNNNNNNNNNNNNNNNNNNNNNNNNNNNNNNNNNNNNNNNNNNNNNNNNNNNNNNNNNNNNNNNNNNNNNNNNNNNNNNNNNNNNNNNNNNNNNNNNNNNNNNNNNNNNNNNNNNNNNNNNNNNNNNNNNNNNNNNNNNNNNNNNNNNNNNNNNNNNNNNNNNNNNNNNNNNNNNNNNNNNNNNNNNNNNNNNNNNNNNNNNNNNNNNNNNNNNNNNNNNNNNNNNNNNNNNNNNNNNNNNNNNNNNNNNNNNNNNNNNNNNNNNNNNNNNNCCGAACCACUAUAAAUCACUGUGUUGAUCUUUUAAUUUCUGAAGUUUGCUUGAUACUGCUUUUAAUACACUUCUGUUUAUAUUUUAGAAAUGCUAAAAUUGUUAAUGAUUCAGAUGCUCUAAAACUGUAAUAAGUCUUAUCUUUUCUGAACAUUAGAAUUCUGGAAUUCUGAUAAGUGAAUAUACCAUGUUCUAAAUCGUUAUUCUAGUUACAGUAUAGUUCACUGCUUGGGUUUCUAAUUAAUUUUCUAAACUUUAUGAGAAAGUUCUAAUUACAAUAGCUUUCCAUCAUAAAGUAGUUCUGAUACUUGAUUAAGGUUUUGUGAAGCAGUUCUAAAUUCGAUAACUGUCUCUCACACAGUCUUAUAUGAUUUUCUAAACUUUAUGAGGAAAUUCUAAUCUCAAUAGUUUUCCUUCAUAAAACAGUUCUGAUAUUAGAUAAAACAUUGUGAAACAGUUCUAAUUAAUAGCUGCACUUUGCAUUGUCUUUCUAUCUUUUAUGAAUAGAACAUUGUGAGGUAGUUCUAAUCCAUAUUCUAAUCUCACGAGUUCUAUAUUUUUCCGCUACACUUAGAAUUUUAUAUUCUGUUUUUAAAUUCUAAAAGAUUUUUAGAAAACCCAAUUCACCUCCCCUCUAGGGUUGUGCCAUACAUAUGCGGGGCCCACGCGACUUUCUAAUGCCAAUUUAGUAAAGCUUCUCCCGUGCACCUUUGAUAAGUAUUUUAUCAAAUUUGAAUCAUUCUGAAUUUUAAUAAUAGCAAUCUAACUGAAGUAUUCUUUUAUCCACUCUGGAAUAGACCUAAACAGGGAUGUCAAAUGGUAUGCAAUCAGUUGUUCUUAGUUUGCUCGAUACAGAAAAUCUACCUACCCCUCUAAGCAUAUAUAACCUUAGGUAUGCGUUACAUCUCGAACUAAAAAAAAUAAUCUUUCUCGAUAAUCAGUUGAUUAGGAUAAAAUUCUAUCCUCUAGAAACCGUACAUGCGCCUUUUGAUGCAUACGGUUCAACACAAAUUGCGAAAACAAAAAAAGAAUCACUGUGUGGAUUCCAGCCCUCCUUUGACCAGCUAUUACAUGAUCAUUGAGCAAUAUGUUUGGCGCAUGCUUUCAGGAAUAUAUAAAAUUAGCCACAUCUACAAUGCAGAAAAUGCCAAUGAAUGAAAAAGCAAAUUGUUAGUUGCUUCAAUUUAAAUAUAAGGCAAACAAGUAAUACCUCUUAGACGAUAUGCCACACUUAAAUUCGGCAUAAAUGGAUAAACUAAAAGGCGUUCUGAUGGUGUUGUGCAAAAACCUAUCAGCCGUAGUAGAUUCCUGUGAACAGCUACGCUUAUCAUCUCAACCUCACGUUGGAAAGCUCCAUCUCCUCCUGGAGUUUCAAAAUCAGUUAAACGCUUAACAGCUACUUUCGUGUUAUCUUGAAGCACUCCUUUAUAAACUUUUCCAAAACCUCCCUGUCCAAGUAUGUUUUUCUCGUUGAAGUUUUCCAUCGCCAACUGUAAUUCCCGAUAUGCAAACCUUUUCAAUUGACCAAAAACAAUUCUUCUGUCAACUUCACCUAAACCAAGAAUAAAAAAUCAGGUAUUUUCAAGGUUUACUAAAGCUCCGUUUGUUUUCCUAAAAUAAUUUGCAGGAAAUUUUUUUAAAAUCUUCAUAUUUUAAUACCAAAUGAAAGAAAAUAAAUAUAUUUUAAUACCCAUAUGUUAAAAGAAUAUUUAGAGUGUGUUGGGAUCAAUGCUUCCACUUAUUCCCCUUAUUUAUUUUCACCACCGAUGAUCUAAGCUAUUUUUCACAAUAUUUUAUCGUAUUAUAUUAUCUAAGCAUAAAUAUGCAAACUUUUAUGUUUACAAUGAAUCAAAAAGAGGGAAAAAUAAAUUAAAUUUAAGAUUAAUUACCUAUAAUAAUCUUAGUGAAAGUUUAGAAAUUCUAAAAUAUCCUUAGUUACUGAUCAAUUGAUAAUAGUUUGAGUUUUUAAUAAUCGAUAAAUUAGAGUUUUUAAUACUUUUUUUAUUCAUUGUUUAAAAAAAAUAUUAUUAUAUUAAUAUAUUAUUCUAAUUGAAUUUUCAAUUUUUGAUUAUUUACGAUAUUAAUUGUUUAAAAAAUAGAUUAUUAUUUUAAUUUUAAAAUAAACUUCAAAAUGCAAAAAAAAAAAAAAAAAAAAAAAAAAAACCUAUAAAAGAUAUUGAUUCACAUGUUUAUAUAUAUAUCACUUUCAAAGUUUUGAAUUUUUUUUAAUUUAUGUCUAUUUAUCUAUAUUGAAGUUUUCCAAUUUAUAUGGUAUAGAUUAAGGCAACAUUUUAAUUUUUUUUUCUUUUUUCAUGAAUAUUGGUUGUCAAAAUAUCAUAUACUAUUAGAUCAUUUUCAAUUCCUGCGAAACAGGUUCUUCUAUAAACAUAAGAACCGCAUACUAAAGGAUUUUAAAUAACUAUAUAUUCUCUACAUCUCAACAUAAAUUAAUCAAAGCAAAACACUCUUAAAAAAAAAAAAUCAAAAAAUGGAUAUAAUAUGGUCCUCAAAGCUUUCAAUUAAUUGAAAUUUGUCGAUCUCAAUACCGUUAAUCUAAAACGGUAUCAAAUCCAAAAUCAAAAUGAUCUUUUCUGUUACCGAUCAGAAUUUGUUUAUGCUGAGGUUCAGGAAUAUUUGAGUUCUGUAUUAUUAUUAUUUAUUUUAGAGUUUUAUUUUUUUUAUUUGAUUUUCAUGAAUUCAAAUCAAUAUCCAAUAACAUAGGAUCAUAUUAUUUAAUUUUUUUAAAAAGAAAUCGAUGCUAUUAACCUUAUCAUUUUCAAAAAAAUUAAAGUCUAAUCUUAUAAUUAAUAAUAAUUCAUUCAUUUUAUCUUCUAUAAUUAUUUUAUUAAAUAUACUUGGCUUUUAACGUUGUUCUAUCAUAUUAAAAUUAAUUUAAGAAAAAUAUUAUUUGCUUAUUAUUUGAAUAUUACAAAAUUAAUACUAUUUAAGAAUAAAUUAUAAUCAUACUUAAUACUAUAUAAAAAUAAAUUAAUGAGUAUAAAUUACAAAAAAUACCAAACAAUAACAAUGCAACGCACGUGGUAAAAAACACCAAGUACUAUUUAAGUUUUCAUACAUUUUCUAAAUUGACUCUGUCAGUAAUCGAUAUGAAAUAAAGUGAUCCUAGAGAACAAAACUGGGUCCCGCGGCUCAUCCCGAGCCCCGAAGGCUAAAAUAUAUUUUCGAUUGGGCUUAAAUUUAUAAUUUUCUACCUUUAAAUAUUUUUAUUCGAACACGUUGAAUGGUCAGCUGUAGUUCCUCAAGCCGAAUGUUUAACAGUUUAAGGUCAAAUGGCAUAAAAAAAUAAUUCAAAAUAUUUUACUUAAAAUUUUUAAAACCAAGUUGAUGCCAAAUAUGUAAGUAAUUCUUUUACAUAUAAGUAAAUUUUAGUUUUCAAAUCAAGUUUAAAUAGCGAAAAUGUUGUUUUUCAUUGUAUAAACCAGCUCAACAAAUAUGUAUUAAAUGUUAUUUUUCAUUCUAUAAUUCUCAUUUUCUUUUUUAAGUAUGAGAUCACAAAGUAUUUCUAGAAGGAGAGAUUUUUUUAAAAUUGUUGGAAUUAAUGGAUAGGUAUGGAUACACCCAUUAUUAGCCAUUUUAACCCGGAUCCAUUAAUAAUACGUGAUAAUAAUUAAUAUGUCUAAUUAUUAUUAUGUGUAUUUAAAUAAGUGUAAAUAUCCUAGUUUGAUAUAUUUUAGAGAUUUUGUGUUUUAGUUGGAUUCCUUCAACCUGUUAGGAUUUGAUGGUCUAUUUUUAAGGCUGUUUAGUUAAUAAAUCCUGUUUCUUUAGGAUGCUUAGUUGUUUUGUUUUAUUCAAAGUUGUUAGCGUAUUAGACUCCUUUUCUUUUUCUUUUUCUUUUCAGUUGUAAUGUACAUCUAUAUAAAGCUGACCUUCUUCUUUUCAGUUUUCUCUCAUUUGAUUGUCGAAUUCAAAUGUAUUUCAUUAUAAAAGGUUUUACUAAUUUGAUAAAGAAAAAUGCUAUGUCUACUUUAUAACUAACAAUGAAAAGAGAAUGAAAUUCUCAUUACAAAUUAAUUUUAGUGCCCAUAAGAUGACCAAUUAUAUUCUUUAUCUUAAUGACUUUUAGCAAGGUUUCUUACUUCUCCGAUUUAUAGUUGGUGACUAGAUGAGAUAAAUGUGGUUGAAUUCCUUUAAAUUUGUGUAACAUGCAGAUGGUCAGAUGAAGCAUUCCAAUGUAAAGUCCAGUGAUCAACCAAUGCUAAAAAGUUAGUACUAAUAUGCGCUUUAUAGAUUAACUAUUUAGUUGAUGUGGAAUUGUUAACAACUAGUUGGAUUAAAUCAAAAGAAAUAGAAGAUGAUAAAGUUUAAUUCUUGGUAUACGUUUCUUGUGUCGGGCAUGAGAGAUUGACCCUCCAAUAUGGCAUUAUGGAGUAGAUCGGCAGCCACCCUUCUCACUGCAACAAUUAUUUGGGAAUUGCGUUAACUUGUCUACCUAGUUCAAAGCAUUUCAAUCUUAAUGUACAACAUGUGGACUACAAUAGAUGACUUCGAAUGUGUCUAGCAAUCUAGCCACAUGCUCACGUUUGAGGCAUCUAGCGUAUUAUACAACUUACAAGCCAUCAAUAUAUAUAUAUCCGUCAAUAAAUAUCCUAAAUCUCCUUAUAUUUUCUUAAAUUUUCAUUAUCAACCUAUGUUAUUUAGAAUAUUUAUGCAGAUAUAAAUAUAAAGGCGGAUUUUCUACUAUAUAUUCAUCGAAAUUUUAGCAACAUCUCUCUGUGUAAGAGUGUUCAAGUGUACAAAAUGGAUAAUCUAAUAUACAACUCAAGAACGGGGAGAUAUAAAAGAUAUUCUAACAUAAAAACGACAUUUUCAUAAUUAUAUUCAAAUAAACAAAUUUAUUUCUAAAUUAUCUAUCAUAGACAAUCCAAUGUGCUUCAUUUAAUUAAGAAUUAUACUUGAUAAGUUCUUUUAAUGAAUUGCACUACAGGUGCUUAUUCUAUGUAAUACAAAUAUUGAAGGAAAUUGCUUAAAUAUUAAUAGCUGUGCAUGGAAGGAUAUGUUUGGCCAAAUUAGUUGUUUUGGUAGUUGUUAGUUGUUUGAGUACCGUUUAACGUUUAGCUGUUUGAAUAACUUUUCAUAAAACGCUAAAAGUUAAAUUUUGUAUGAAUUAACUUUUUAUAAAAUACUAAAUUAAUAUCUAAAAGUCAAUUUAAACACUGUAUUAUCUAAUACCGUAAAAAAAUAUUAAAAUGUGCACAAGUUAUAGCCGUGUGAUUAGAAAUUGUAUAAUUCACCUUCUUUCUACAUCGUUCCAUGCACCCCUACUACGUCCACAUGCAGAGGCCCUUGGCGUUGAUGGAAAUAUUAGGUGGCUAUUGCAUCCACGUAGUAUAACUAAUUGGUGGGUGGGUGAUGUGAUAAUGAUAUGGGUACCAGAAUAAGCAUUAAAAUAUAAUUUUUCUCAUUACGAGUUAAAAAUAUAGGGUUUCUUUAAAUAGUCGGUAGAGAAUGCUUUGUCUUUAUUUUAUAGGUCUAACCGGUACAAAUCCAAAUUAUUAGAAUCGGUGAGAUUAAAAAAUCAAGCAGUGAAUAUAUAUAUAUAUAUAUAUAAAAAGAAAAUGUAAUACCUGAAAAAAUAAAUAAAUGAUUUAAUUAAUUCCCCAUUUCUUAAUCACUUUCACUCACACAAUAAAAAAAAAAUUUUGAUAAAAAGAAAAGUAGCAUCUGCAAUUCAUCAAUUAAUAUAUGUAUGACAAUUUGAAAUUUAACUCAAGUCUCGUGAUGCGUGGGUCCCAUCACUUUUAUUGUUUAUAGUGUUUAUAGUGUUUAAGGGAUUAAUUUGAUUUUAGGAUAAAAUCGUGCAACACGUAAAGUUUAUAGUAUUUUAAAUGAAUUACUUAUACAUAUAGUCAUAUAUUAGUAUAAAUCAGGAAAUUAUUUUUCAAUCAAGAAAUUUGACUUUUUUUAUAAAUAAAUUUUAAACUUCACAGAAAUGUACUGUACAUGCGUCUAAUGCAUAAAUUUGACUCUAAACUUUUGUCAAUUAUUUUUGUGGUCUCUUGAACUUUGUGAGAGUCCAAUUAUAACCCUACACUUUCACAUUUCACUAAUAAUUAUAUCGCUCGUCAAAAUGAAAUAUCUUGACUAAAAUUCCAUAUCAAUGACCCUAUAUUUUCACAUUUCAUUUUGGUCAUGAGCAUAGUUAUUAUUGAAAUGUGAAAAUGCAGGGUUAUGAAAUGUUCCUUGCAAAAUUCAAGAGGCCACAAAAAUAACCGCAAAAAAUUAUAAAAUCAAAUUUAUGCAUUAGGUCUUACCAAUUAGACAAUUUGUCAAAUUAAAUUAAAGAGGAAAAAAGAAAGAAAGGUUUAAGUUAAGUUCAUUCAUAUAUAUAUAUAUAUAUAUAUAUAUAUCGGGGUGAUGUCCGCCCUUACGUAAAUUCAUUCAUGUUGCAUGUAUAUAAUCAUCACAUGGAUGUAAGUUCUUUCAUGUUGUAUAUAUAUAAUUAUCACAUUGAUACCAUUUUAAAAAUUGAUUUCAUCUAAUCAUCUAACCUAAGUAAAAACAUAUUAUACAAAUUAAACAUGUUUACUUGAAUCCAAAACCUUCACUUUGAAUUUUUGAAUCCAAAACCUAGCUAUAAUUACUUGAAUUAAACAUGUUAUACAAGUGUAACUACCGUUUUCAAGUUUUGGAAUGAAUGAAAUUGAAAUAUAAUUAAUUUACCUCCUCAAAUAAUUAAAAAAGAAAAUAUAAGAUUAUUGAUGAUCCGUUUGUUUCUGUAAAAUAAUUUGCUGGAAAAUAUUUUCCUCCUACAAAAAUUUUUUCCUAAUGACUUAUUUUCCGUUGUUUAAUUACAAUAUUGAAAAUUAAUUAAAAAUAUUAAAAUCUUUAUCUCAUAAGAUCAUAAAAAAUAUUAAUAAUAAUAGAAAUUUUAUAAUUUAAAAAUUUUAUUAUUAAAUAUGAGAAGAAUGUAAAAAAAAAAUCAAAUUAUGAAAGCCGUCGGUAGAUAGUGGUGGUGGCCGGUGGUGGUAGCGAAAGGUGAUAGUCGGUAGUAAAUAGUGACUGGUAAUGGUGACUACGAGGAUUUAUAUAUUAAAAAGAAUAUGAAUUUUGGCAUUUUAACAAUUUUGGUCAAUUCUUUUAAUUGCUACAAUUGAUACCGGGAAAUAAUUUUUUCUUAACAAUUGUAGCCUCCCUCCAUCAACCUUUACUACGGUGCCGAUGUGGGCAUUAGUGGAACCCUCGCCAUGACAAGUCACUUGUUGACAGUAAAUUUGUAAGAUAUGAUUGUUAAAAGAAUUGGCCAAAAUUGUUAAAAAAAGCCAAAGUUUAGAGUUUUGUUAAGCUAAAGUUUAUUAGUUUACCAAUUUUAGUCAACAUUAUUACAUGCACACCAAGACAUAACUCAGUGAUAAGUGCAUAUACAAUUUGGCAAUAGAUCCAAAUUUUUUUAUUAAAAUUAAUUUCUAAUAUUUAUGUAAUUUAUUUAUCAAUAAAUAAUUUUAUAACUUGUAAUAUUCAAAUUUAAUUUGAUAAAGAUAGUUAAAUAUUUAAUAAAUUUUGAUUAUAAUAUUUUUUAUUUUAAAUGAUAUAUUAUAAUAAUUAAUGACAAACAAUUAAUAUUAUGCUAAAAAAAUUUAUUUUAUUUUAAUAAGAAUUAAUUGAGAAUAAUAAUUAUAUGACAACAAAAUAAAUGAAGAAAAAAAAUUUGAAAAGGAAAUUAUAAUUUGAAAAUUCGAAAAGUUACAUUUUAAGAUUGAGAACUAAAAGCAUGAAAAAAUGGUGUUUCGCAAUUCAAGCAAAAAGAUACUAUUUUCUUAUCUUAACUCAUAAAUAUAAUAUACAUUCUUAAUAUUGGAACACAUGCCAUCGAAUCGAAUAGGUAAUCUUUUAAUUAAUUCCCCAUUUCUCAAUCAUUUCUUAAUCACUUUCACUUUCACUUUCACUUACACAAUUAAUCAAUUAAUAUAUGUAUGACAAUUAUGGCUCCACAUGGUUAUCGUUUAAAAUCAGCUUAUGAAUGCAACGAUGACAAUUUGAAAUUUAACUUUUUUUAUAAACAAAUUUAAAAAUUCACAAAAAUAUAUUUUACGUGCAUCUAAUGCAUAAAUUUGACUCUAAACUUUUGUCGAUUAUUUUUGUGGUCUCUUAAACUUUGAGAGUGUCCAAUUAUAACCACACACUUUCACAUUUCAUUAAUAACUAUGUCUCUCACCAAAGUGAAAUAUUACUAAAAUUUCAUAUCAAUGACACUACAUUUUUACAUUUCAUUUUAGUCAUGAGAAUAGUUAUUAUUGAAAUGUGAAAAUACAGCAUUAUGAAAAGUUCCUUGCAAAAUUCAAGAAGCCACAAAAAUAAUCGCAAAAAAUUAUAAAAUCGAAUUUAUGCAUUAGGUCAUUAUUUAUGAGAGUUGAAACUAUCCGUUUGCUAAAUUUAUGUAAAAAAGCCAUCCAUCACUUACCAAUCAGACAGUUUGUCAAAUUAAAGAGGAAAAAGGAAAGAAAGGUUGAAUAUCGUUUUACAUAAGAAAUAUAAGUAGAUUAAAUUUAUAAUAAAAAAAGUAGAUUAAGUUUGAAUUUGUUAAAUUUAAUUUUCAAAUAGAAUUAUUAUAUCAAUAUAAUUCUUCAAAUAUAUUACCAUGAAUUUUUGAAAUUAAAAAAAUUAUCCAAUCAAAAUGUAGAAAAUAAAGAAAAAAUUAAAAAAUUUCUCCAAAAAGAAAACGAAACUUACGGAGCCCAUCCAUUCAGCGCAAGUCGUCGAGAAAGAUUGUUCUUUUACAAAUAAAACACUGAAUAAAGAGAAAGCUUAGAACUUUCUUCUUUUUUCAACUUUCAUAUAUAUAACAUAAAUGAGGAGGUGAAAAACUAAAGAUUUAAUAUUAAUAUCAAAUUUAACUUUAAACUUAUUUAUUAUUACAAAUCUAAUUCUUUUGAUUACUAAUAGUUAUAGCGUUCAAUAAUAUAAUAUCUACUCAAACUUUUAGAAUUUGAAACAGUGUUUUAUGAAAUCUUAUCUUAUUUUUAUUUACAUUUAGCAUUUUAUAAUUUCUUUAUGACACUUAUACUCAUCAUUUGUCUUACUUUAUUUCUCGCUUUCAUACAUUUUUUAUCAUUUUAUAGUAAACAGCUAAUCAUCUUAGCCAACGCUUUUAUUUUAAACCGCUAUAUAAUGGAUAACCAUUAACACUUAAUAUUUAAUAGAUAACUACUGUUAAAACACUGACAGCUAUUAAAACAGUCAACAGUUACUAGAACAACUAAAUUUAUUAAAUAGACCCAAAGUUAUUAUUCGGUUGGGAGAGUUGGAAGUGACCAAGAAUGUAAGAAGUAUAGUAGUAAGUUCUAAAAGAAAAUCAUUUAUUUUUCCAAAAGAAAAAAAAAAAAAAGACAAUCAUUCAUAUUAUCAAUUCGAGUUAUUUUGGUAACAAUAGAACCUCAUCAUAAAUUUCAAUCCAAAUUAUUUAUUUGCACCACCUCUUCUCCAGAAUAUAAAUUUCAAAUUAAAAAUUUGGCAGGAAGAAGGGUGGAAGGUCUUUCAUUAAGGCAAUAUUUGGAUUUAUGAUUCUUAAAUAUAGAGAUAAUCACUAUUAACAAUAAAAUCUAACACAUGAAUAUAGGAAAUUUAAUGGUGAUGCACCAUUUUAUUUAUUUAUUAUUGAGGCAUAACACAUGAUAUCAACGAGAAAAAAAAAAAGGCUAAAAUAGGGAAACAAACAUAAAAAAUAAUAAAAUCUUAGUCCCACUUGUGCUUUUUUGGAAUGGAAUAAGUAUAAGAUCGUGCUUGUUAUGGAUAGUGAGACCACCAGCUUCUUCCAUUGGAAAGUCCUCAAAUUUCUUUCCAUUAGGGAGCCCAAAAUCAAACCCAUAUAAAAGAUUAGCCAAUGUGUAUUUAACUGCUGUAGUACCCAUUGCCAGACCAGGACAAAUUCUUCUUCCAGCUCCGAAUGGAACCAACUCAAAGUAGGACCCUCUGUAAUNNNNNNNNNNNNNNNNNNNNNNNNNNNNNNNNNNNNNNNNNNNNNNNNNNNNNNNNNNNNNNNNNNNNNNNNNNNNNNNNNNNNNNNNNNNNNNNNNNNNNNNNNNNNNNNNNNNNNNNNNNNNNNNNNNNNNNNNNNNNNNNNNNNNNNNNNNNNNNNNNNNNNNNNNNNNNNNNNNNNNNNNNNNNNNNNNNNNNNNNNNNNNNNNNNNNNNNNNNNNNNNNNNNNNNNNNNNNNNNNNNNNNNNNNNNNNNNNNNNNNNNNNNNNNNNNNNNNNNNNNNNNNNNNNNNNNNNNNNNNNNNNNNNNNNNNNNNNNNNNNNNNNNNNNNNNNNNNNNNNNNNNNNNNNNNNNNNNNUGAAAGUUUGUUCUCUUUUAGCAAGAGCACCAGUCAAAGAAUCAAUGAAUCUUCCAGCGCUAGGGAAAAAAUCCUCCGCAUGAAAACUGUUUAAAAUAUCCAUAGCUUCACUAAUCACCUUAACAAAACCUUGUUGGAACUCCACUUGUCCAUAGCUCCUUCCGAAAGCAACAGUACCCAUAAUACCAUCAAUCAUGUUAAAUAUUAGCUCUGUGAGAUUAACUCGAUUAGGGUAUGCAUUUGUUAAAAUAUUGUUUAACUUGUCAAUCUGCUCUUCUCUUGCGUACCAGAACAUAUGCACUCUUUUCAUACUCAAAAGCUCAAAAAUAAACAACUUUCUCAUUUCUCUCCAGUAAUCAGAAUAUGGAGAAAAUGCAACAUCCAAGAAAUUAUAUGACAGUCUACNNNNNNNNNNNNNNNNNNNNNNNNNNNNNNNNNNNNNNNNNNNNNNNNNNNNNNNNNNNNNNNNNNNNNNNNNNNNNNNNNNNNNNNNNNCCAGGUGAUCUCCCUAAUUGAACUCGCAUGACAGGGCCAUAUUUUUGUGACAUUUUCCAAAAAUCGUAGUACGGCCUGUCGCCUAACUGGUGAAAAUUGCCAAUAAUGGGGAGUCGUCUUGGACCUGGUGGUAGUUUAGGACCUUCAGUUCUCUUCUUGCUUUUGAAGAGAAAGAAAGUGAAAAUUGGAAGAAGAAAGACUGCAAGAAUUGGAAGCCAUUGUUGGUUGAGAGAAAUUAGAUUUGAUAUAGACAUUUCCUGUGGUUGUUUAUCUUUUUGGUGUGGUUUUGAUUUGAAAGUGGAGAAGAUGAGUGAACCCUUUAAAUAGUGCAGCAAUGUAGUGAACCAGAGACUUGAUAUUUCUUUAUGAGGAAAUAUAAUAAAUAUAUUAAUUAUAGCACACAUUUUUUUCAUAUAUUUAAUAUUUGCAGUUGUAUCACCUACCUUGUUACACAUGUGAUUUUUAGUCAUUUUAAUAGGCAUCCCCUUCAAAUCAAAACCGAACAGUAACCGAGUUAAAAUUGCCAUCAUACCCCAAUCAAUGGCAUCCGAUUUCAAACCAUAAUCGAAAUCAUAUUUUUAUUGUUUGGUUUCGAUUUUUCAUUUUCUAAAAUUAGAAUCCAAGAUUCUAAUUUUAAACUAUGAAAAACUAAAUUUUACAAGAAACAGAUAAUAUUUUUUUUUUGUUUUGUUAUAAUUUUUUAAAUUAAAUUUUAAAACUUUUAAUUAUUAGUUUGGUUUAGUUUGUCCAAUAGUACUAUUAUUAUUAUUAUUAUUAUUAUUACAAAAUACAAAACUAAAAAAAAAUAAUAAUAAGUUUGAAAAUGAUUAUCUAAUUUCGGUUUCAAAUCAAAACGAAAUCAAAAUCGGUGGUUCUGAAACCAUUUUAAAGUGUGCCUAAAAAUGAUUUAAAUUUUGAUUCAAUCCUUAAAGCUUUUAUAAUCGAAAUUCACAGUUUUAAAACCGAAACCAAUAGCUCCAAAACUAUGAUCAUAACUACCUCUCUCACUCUCCUUACAAUAAGACUCAAACUCAAAACCUCUAAUUCCUCACACUACUGAAAAAAACCAACCAUACCACAUCUUGUUGGCAUAGAAUCUUAUAUUUUAUUAUUUCGUUGAAAAUAAUUACAUAGUUUGGAAUGUUAUUUUUAAAAUAAAAUUAAAUGAUUUAAAUUUCAUCGUUCAUAUAAAAGUAUGUAAUUAAUAAAGUUCCCAACUCUUAGCUGAGAUUUCUCUCUCUUAAAAUGAUGAAAUUGAAGUAAUGAUAAAAUUCAUCAAUUUUAUGAAUUACUUUUUCUCAACCAAAUAAAAAAAUCCAAGGAAUCAACAUAAAUGUUUAAAUGUGUGUUUGGAAAGGUGGAAAAUAGCCGAGAAAGGAAAAUAAUUGAGUGAAAUAAAUGAGGAAAGUUAUUUUCUUCUGUUUGGAUUAUGUUAAGAAAAUUGCAGAGGAAGGAGAAUCUGUACUGAAAUCCUCUUGGCCCGCAAUUUUUCAAUCUCUUUUCAAUCUCUCCGAAUCGGAGAUAAAACAACAAAUUUUGUGGGAGAUUUUCAAUGUUUGUACAAAAUUACAAAAAAAAUUCAUUUCCCUAUCUCCAACAAUUAACUCCUCUGUCUUGUUUCCAUGUCGCUGCAAUUCGCCACAAAUAGCAAAUAUAGCGGAUGGAAAUUGGAAAGAACCAAAAUAUUAUUGUUGAUGCUUUAUAUUAAAAAAAUAAAUAUUCAUUUUUUAGAUGCUGAUUGAUGGUAUUUAAUUAAAUUAAAUAGUAACUCAUUAAAUAUAUUAUUUUUAUUUGUCAAGUAAACCCGUAACAUUAUACAAAAUGUUAAGGUUAAAACUGCAAUUAUGCAACAGUAAUAUUUUCUUUCCUCUCCUUAUUUUCCUUUCAAUCUAAAGUGGAAAAUAUCGAAGGAAGAAAAUAAAACAAUGUUUUUUUAUUUUCCUUUGUUAUUUUCCUUUCUUCCUUAUUUUCCGUUCUCUCUUUCCAAACAGCGAGUAAAUUUAUGACUUCUUAUUUUAUUUUUACUCUAAUAUCAAAAUAUCAAAAUAUUAAACCUUAGUCAAAAAUCAGACUUCAAUAUAUAUAUAUCCGUCAAUAAAUAUCCUAAAUCUCCUUAUAUUUUCUUAAAUUUUCAAUAUCAACCUAUGUCAUUUAGAAUAUUUAUGCAUAUAAAUAUAAAUGCGGAUUUUCUACUAUAUACUCAUCGAAAUUUUAGCAGCAUCUCUCUGUGUAUGGUUCUUUGAGUGUACAAAAUGGAUAAUCUAAUAUGCAACUCAAGAACAGGGAGAUAUAAAAGAUAUUCUAACAUGAAAACGACAUUUUCAUAAUUAUAUUCUAAUAAACAAUUUUAUUUCUAAAUUAUCUAUAAUAGACAGUCCAAUGUCUUCUUAUCAUCCUGUUGAGAAAAAUACAAAAUGUGUAACAAUGAUAACUAUCUUAAAUUUUAUUUGUUUAAAACCUAAUCUCAGAAACUUAAAUAAAUCCAAUUCUAAAUAAAAUUAUACAAAGUAUAUAUACUGAUUAAACUAUACAUUAAAUAUACAUUAAUUAAACCAAUUUACUUUUAUAUACUGAUUAAAAUAUUAUUGUACAAUAACAUUACACUAUUUGUUCUAAUAAUAUCAAUUGAAAUUAAUCAACUCCAAAAAUAAAAAAUAAAAAACAAUUUCAAUUAAAAUCAAUCAACUUCUAACAUCAACAGUUACAUAAGAUAAAUAAUUAAUUAAACAACAAAUUACCAAAGAAAAAUAAAACAUAAAUAAUAGUAGAAAGUGAAUGAAUAAUAGUAAAAAGAGAAGUGGUAUAUUUUCUCGAACGUGUGUCAUCGGCGUUGAUGAAUAGUGCAUAUUAAUGAAAUACGACCACUGUUGAUUGAUACUGGAGGGUGUUAAAAGAGAGAUCAUGGCAAAAAAAUUGCCUUUUUAUUUUAAAUUAAAAUUACAGACAAAUAUUUCAAUCAGUAAUGUUUUAAAAUCUGUCCCUAAACUAGUUAAAUGAACAUGCUACAUGUCCGUUACAAAGCAAAAUUGCAUCACUAAUUGUCUUUAAUUAAUUGUUUCAUUUACGAGAUGAAAUAGUACCAUCGCUAUUCUUUGUGCUUUAUUUUAUUUUUCAUUACUACGGUAAACACAGUCCGCCGCUAAAAUAUGACAGCAUUUUAUUGGAAAUUCGUUCAUUAUUCAGUAAAUUAAUUAGUUUAUCGUUGAUGAUAAUCUGUGGUUAUUUAGUGUAUCUAAUUACCAUUUCUUAUAGUGGAACUGUAGAAUUGAUAUCUAUAUGUAAUUUUUUUUAAAUAUAAAAGAUAGAUUUAGUAAUACCUUAGAUGUCAAUAAGUCUUAGGUUUGGAUCUCACCAAUAUUAUUAUAAAAUCUAAAUUUACAAAAAAAUUCUUGAGUAUUUGUUUUAAGUAUAAAUGUCAAAUAUUAUUCCUUACCACUCAUCUAAACAUGUCUUUACUAAAAAAAAUAAAAAAUAAAAAGAGAGAGCUCAACAUUGAGAAUCUUCUCCCUUGCAUGAUAUAUAGGGCAGAUCUACACUUUGGGCAACGAGGGCACCAGCACACUGGCUUUUUACAGUUUAAUUUAUAAUUUUUUACAUUUUAGUAUAUAUAACUAACAUAAAUUUCUAUUACUUAAAAAAAACACAAAUUAAGCUUAUGACAUAAAAAUUAAUUUAAAUAAACAUAUUUUUUUUCAAUUACGUAUUUUAUUUUCAUAUUUCUAUGUUUUAAGGAUGAAAAAAAAUCCUAACUGUUAAUUCUUUUAAAUUGAGACAAUUAGUUCUCACAAGUUUCAAUCUUAGUCAAAUUCCAUUCAGCAACAUAUAUUACGAUUUCAAUGGCUUUUAUAAAUAAAUAAUUAACUCCUCAAAUUUUUGAAAAAUAUGUUAAAUUAUUUUUUUAAUAGCUGUUAGGUUCCAAACUCCAAACCCCUUUCCUCAUUUCUUUAACUUGUAAUUUCUGCUCUUUAAUAGGUUUAUGUAAUUCAAAAUGAUUCAUUUGAGAAAAUUGUAAUUGUGUAAUAAUGUAUUAUAGUUUGAUAAUAUAUUAUUGGCUCAAGGGUCAAUUUUUUCUUGAGAUUUUGAUGAUUAAGCAUAAUAAAUAAAUUUAAUUUUUUUAUUUGUGUUAAUAUUAUUUUAUGCAGACUUAUUUAUUUUUAUAUAGAAAUUAAUAAACAAGGCAAAUUCCAUCAAAUCUAAGUUUAAAUGAAGAGCAUGAAGACCAUUAAAGAUUUUAGUGGUUAAGUAUAUUAGGAUUUGUUGUAGGAUAGAGAGAAUAUUCUUUUAUCAGCACAAAAAUAUUUUUCUCUCUCACUCAAAAUGAUUUUCAGAAAUUACCUUAAUUUAUAAAAGAUACAUCAUGAUUCUUUUCGAUUUUCUUACCUAAAUAAAAGAGAUUUGUCUUAAUCAUUUAUGGUAACAAAUUUUCCAUUUUCGGAAAUUUAAUUUACUUACCUAAAUGAAAGAGAUUUUAUCUUAAUUAUUUUUAGUAAUAAAAUAUUUUGAAAAAAAAUUUUAUAUUUAUUUCCGAAAACUAUUUUUAAAGAAAAGUCUAAUAUCUUAUUUUUAUUAGCUUAACUUAAAAGAAAAGAUUUUGAAUCAAAGAAUUUUUAGCAACAAGAUAUCCUUAUCUUCCAAAAUUUAGAAAGUCAAUAUUCUUAUUUAAAAUGAGAGAUUUUACUUUCUAAAAUGGGACUUUCAUCCCUCUCUAUAAAAGACGUCUUUCCCUUGUAAAGACGUGGGUUUUUAUUUUAAGAGUAAGUGUCCAUUGAUCAUAUAUUUUAAUCUCUCAAAACUCACUGUUUACCCCCUCAUUGAUCAUAUAUUUUAUUUUCAUCUCAAAACUCAAAAGUCAAUAGACUCUUGUUUUUAUUUGUUUCUUUCUUUUUAGGGUUUUCUUAGUGUUAUCUUUCUGUCUUGUUUGUCCACUAUUUCCAUCUGUUUAUUUUUUCAUUCGCUAAUAUGUUUUCCCCUUUCCUGUACAUCAUGGUUCUGUAGUGCUAGCAACUAAGAUGGAGAACCAAAAUACUGUCCCAUUACCCAAGCACAAGGAAAUGAGAGUGUACACAGCAGUGGAGGCAGAAGAAUUAGAAGCGAAUGUGGUUGAGAAUUCCCCCCAUUCUGAUUCGGCUUCCUGUCUGGUUAGUAAAGUUUGGACAUAUUGAAAUUGUAAUAAAUUUGCGCUAAUGGAAACUAUGGUGUGAGUUUGGAAACCUAAAUAUGGGGUGGAGGCCAGAGAGUGGAGUAAAGACAUAUUCUUGUUUCAGUUUAAACAAGCAUGGGAUAAGCAGGACGUGUUAUGGAAGGAAACAUGGCAUUUCGACAAAUAUAUAUUGGUUCUUAAGGAGAUUCAUGGAGAGGAACAACCAGCAAAUGUACUGUUUACUUCCAUUCCAUUAUAGUGCAAAGCAAAUGAGUUACCGAUCAAUUGUAUGAAUGAGGGGAUGGCUAAAAUUCUUAGCAGGAAGAUAGGCCCUUUUAUGGAAUGGGAUUCUGAUAGUAACAUGGCUUGGGGCAAAUUUAUCAGAUUUCGUGCAUUACUUGACUUGGAAAAACCCCUUGCUAGAGGCUCGAUAGUUAAGCUGCCUUUUGGAAAAUCUAUCUGGAUCCCUUUUCGGUAUGAGGUAUUGCCCAAUUUCUGCUUUUUAUGUGGCAGGUGUGGCCAUACGUAUAGGAGUUGUGAUAAUUAUGAUUUUGGGGAACCUCUACAGUUGGAGAAUAUGUUAUAUGGGGAUUCGUUGAAAGCCUCACCUUUAAGGAAAGGGAGAAAGAUAAGUGCUUCGGAUCGCACUAAGGGUAGGAGGGAACCUGUGGUUAGGAAAAUGAGUUUCCAGGAUAAUACAAGUUUGGCACUAGUAAUCAGGAAGAUAAUGGAAGUGAGGAAUUUGUGAAUCGUCAGGAAAGGAGAGAAGAAGUCUAUUCAGCCCAAACCUUUAUGUCCCAAGCUACUAACAUCCUUAAUUAGUUACAAGAUUUGGUGGCUAAUGCUACUAUAAAGAAUAUGGCUUCAUCAAGCCAUGAACAAAGACAUAUAAGCCAUGAUGUUGCAAGUCCGGCUCCUGCUGACCCCUAUGCUACUACUUCAGCUCAAGUUUCUACUGUCCCAAACCCAGUCGUGACUGACCCUUUACCCUCCUUUUCUUGCCUCUCAGACCUUAUACAUGGUCACCAAACUUUAUUAUCUAGUUCACCUUCUCCCAUCCUUGAGCCUGAACCUGACCCACGUUUGCACCCAGUGAAUAAACAACAAAAUUUGAAUUCUCUCUCCUCUUAGAAAAGAAGGGCACGUCAGGGAAAGGGAAGCACUGUUUAAUCUCAGACAAUGCCCUUAUUGCGUUCGAAACCUUUCAUUUCUUAAAGAAUAAAUAUAAAGGCCGAGGGUACUUUGCUUUGAAAUUAGACAUGAGUAAAGCGUAUGACCAAGUGGAAUGACAUUUUUUAAGAAAUGUUUUUCUUAGAUUUGGUUUGGAUGUGAAACGGACGUACUUGAUCAUGAAUUGUGUUUCUACCGUUUCAUAUUCUUUGCUUAUUAACAGGGAACCAACAGAAAAAUCUGGAAAGACCGCUGGCUUACGGACCUAAAUCAUUCCUGAAUCAUAUCUCCUCCUAUGAUUUUGGAUGAGAAUGCAACUGUGAACCGGCUUAUUCUCCAAGACCCAAAGCAUUGGAAUGUGGAUUUAAUCUCAUCUAUUUUUGAUCCAUUGGAAGGUCGGAGCAUUAUGUCUAUCCCUCUCAACAUGCGACUCACUAAGGACGUUUUGGCCUGGCCUCUUACAAAUUAGGGUUUCUAUGCAGUACGCAGUAAGUAUCAUAUGCUGCAUCAGGAAAAAUUGUUUGGUUUGUACAGCUUCUCUUUUAAUCGGGUGCGUUCAACUCUAUGGAAGCAUCUGUGGAAGCAGAAUAUUCCCCCUAGGGUCAAGCAUUUUUGCUAAAAGCUUGUAUAAAUCACAUUCCUGUUGCUGAUGCACUUGUGCACAGAGGUAUGCAUAUUGAUCCGAUUUGCUCCGUCUAUGGGUUGGCCAUGGAGAACACCAUUCAUAUUUUAAAAGACUACAUCAUUAGCCCAACAUUUUUGAAAAUUUUCUCCUUUAAGGCGCGCUUAUCCGAUGUUGAACUUGUAUCAUCGCCUUUAUGAUAGGGCUGCUAACUACAUCAACCAAAACGUUAUUAGUAAAAUAAAUAUAUUUUUGACCAUUCACUUGGGAAAAAAUAGAUAAUGAGAAUAAAUUUUGUAAAAAAAUAUUCUAAUUUAUUAAUUUAGUCAUAAAUGCAAACAUAGAUCGACUCUAAGUAAAUUUUAUAUUCUAAAAAAAUAAUAGCUAAAACCUUAAUAUUUAUUAUUUUUUACGAGACUCCUCUCAGGACGAGAAUUCUACUAUUUAAUUCUUUCUUUCAACAAUUCAACAAUUUGACUUUAAUAAAACUCAAAUGUUUUGAACACCCAACCUACUAAAUUAGAAGGUAAAUAUUCUUGAGAUAAGAGGCAGUAACACUCCUGAUAAAGGUUUUUUUUUUUUUUUUUUUAUGUAUAAGACUUCAGAUUUCGGUUCAGAUGUUGGAUUCUUCAUUCCAGAUAUUAUAAAGGAUUCUUUUUUAACUGAUUUAUCAUUCAUCGCUCCUCAUAUAACUGAUAUUUGUGUCUGUUAAAAUGUUAUUUGUAAAUAUUAAAAAAAAAGACAAACGAAAAACCUUUUUUUUUUUUUAACUAAUCAUCUUCGUUUUCAGAUAUUUUAUUAUUAACUUUAAAUUGUAUAACCUAUCAAACAAUUAAUUAGAUAGAUUAGAUUUCUUCUCAGGAUUUAUUAAAUUGCGUAGAACGUUGGGUCUGCUGGGGUCCACCUGUGGCUGCUUUUCUCAAGUUAAAUAAAUAAUAAUCAAGCUACCUAUGGAUUGUAGUUCAAUUGGCAAUACGGACUGAACAUGUGGAAAGAGCUCUCAGGUUCGAUCUCACUAAACACAUCUGUAGGAAGGACCAAAUAACUUUAACUGUAACUGAACCUCCCUGAUAAUAAGUUUUCGAAUGAAAUAAUAAUAAUAGCCAGAACCCAAAGACAUUGUCAUCUCUAUAUUAAAUUAAUUCAUGAAGAAUUUUUUUAUAAAAUUGUUACUAUUUCAGUAUUUUGAAUAAUUAAAAAUACUUCCUAUCAUAAUGAAAAAAUUGAUUUUGAUAUCCAUACACGGAUAUAGGAUAUAGAAUAUAGAACAAGUCUUUCUCAAUAUUAUCAUCCACUUAUAAUAUUAGAUUCUAGUACAAUGCAAUUGAAUUUUUUUUGUUUUUUUAGAGAAAAUUUGUUUAGAUCAAAUCUAUGACCCUAUUUAUGAAUCAAAUCAAUUAAAAUAUAAAUUUUUAAAAAAUUAUUUCCAUUUUAUUUUAUUUUCUUCCUAGUGAAUAGUCAAUAAGUCUUAGGUUUGGAUCUCACCAAUAUUAUUAUAAAAUCUAAAUUUACAAAAAAAUUCUUGACUAUUUUUUUAAAGUAUAAAUGUCAAAUAUUAUUCAUAUUAACAUUCAUCAGCUAAUCGCUAUCAGCUACCAGCCACUAGCUAUUAGCAACCGCUAUCCACUUCAGCAGCUGUAAAAAUAUGAGAGAAUGACUAUAUAUGUCAUUAUUAUUAGGCCAAAAUUAUCAUUUAUUAAUAUAAGUUAUUUGAGCCAAUCAGGUAUGGUAUGAUUAUUUUCUCAUUUAUACAAGCAAUAAGAGGUCUCGAAUUCAAGUCUUUUUUACUAUAAGAAUUUUUACGAAUCUGAUGAAUUAAUGGUGGAUUAAGAGUUUUUACCAAUUUAGCGAAUUAAGAGUGAACUACCGCUAUCCACUUCAGCAGCUGUAAACAGCUAAACCAAACGAGCUCUUAAUUGUAAUUUUUUUAAUAUCUUAAGAGGAAAAUUUUUUAUAUAAUAUAUAAAAAAAAUAUGAGAGAAUGACUAUAUAUGUCAUUAUUAUUAGGCCAAAAUUAUCAUUUUUUUUAUAUAAGUUAUUUGAGCCAAUCAGGUAUGGUAUGAUUGUCUUCUCAUUUAUACGGGCAAUGAGAGGUCUCGAGUUCAAAUCUUUUUGACUAUAAGAAUUUUUACCAAUCUGAUGAAUUAAUGAUGGAUUAAGAGUUUUUACCAAUUUGACAAAUUAAGGAUGAACUACCUCAAUUAUUUAGCUCGUAAUGUUAAUUUCAAUCCAUUAAACAUGCGAGCGAAUAAAUUUGAAAUUUUGAAGUUGCUCGACAAUUCCUCUACGUAUUCCUAUUUGUUCAAAAUUCUGUCUGCAAAAAUUCCCGCUAGUUAGGUGGGCACGUUUUUAUUUCUUAGACAGUUUCUCAAUUAUUUAAUUUUGUCCCUCUUAUUAUGGAAAAGAAUAAGCUGGUCCCUAAAUCAAGAUCUCUUUUCAAAAAUUAACUAUAAAAUUCUUAAUUUAUAUAUUCAUUAAUACUUUGAUUUUUCUAUUUAGAACCAAAAUAUUAAUGAAAUUAUAAUUUUAACAUCUCAUAAUCAGUUUUAUUAUAAUUUAGGAAUCAAUUUCUCAGUCAAUUGAUAGCUAAAAAUGCUAUUUUAGAAGAAAAGAUUAAAGCAUUAAUAAAAUUAUAAGAAACGGAUCUCAUUGUUACUUUUUGAAAAUAUAAAUUCUCAUGCUUUAGUUAUAAAUUUGGGAAUUAAUUUUAAUUUUUUUUUUUUGCGGCUCCUUCAUCCAUUUAUAAUGGUUCUACCAAACUCUUUUUUUUGUUUUUUUUCAUAACUUUGGCAAUUUUCUUGUCUUUCUUGUAGACAAUUAUUCUUGAAUUAUCACAAAAUUAAAAUGUUAAAACAUGAUUACAGCUUUGUCUAUUUUUCCACUAAAAAAGAAUAAUUUUGACCCUCUUAAAUUUCUCAAAUGAAAGAAAAUAAAGAUAUUUUAAUACCCAUAUGUUAAAAGAAUGUUGGGAUCGAUGCUUCCACUUAUCCCCUUAAUGAGAUUACCUAUAAUAAUCUUAAUGAAAAUUUAGAAAUCCUAAAAUAUCCUUAGUUAUUGGUCGAAUGAUAAUAGUUUGAGUUUUUAAUAAUCGAUAAAUUAGAGUUUUUUUAAUACUUUUUUGUUAAUUGAUUAAAAAAAUAUUAUUAUAUUAAUAUAUUAUUUUAAUUGAAUUUUCAAUUAUUGAUUAUUUACCAUAUUAAUUGUUUGAAAAAACAAAUUAUUAUUUUAAUUUUAAAAUCAACUUCAAAAUGCAAUAAAAUAAGAUAAAAUAAAAAUAUCUAUAAAAGAUAUUGUUUCAUACGUUUAUAUAUAUAUAUAUNNNNNNNNNNNNNNNNNNNNNNNNNNNNNNNNNNNNNNNNNNNNNNNNNNNNNNNNNNNNNNNNNNNNNNNNNNNNNNNNNNNNNNNNNNNNNNNNNNNNNNNNNNNNNNNNNNNNNNNNNNNNNNNNNNNNNNNNNNNNNNNNNNNNNNNNNNNNNNNNNNNNNNNNNNNNNNNNNNNNNNNNNNNNNNNNNNNNNNNNNNNNNNNNNNNNNNNNNNNNNNNNNNNNNNNNNNNNNNNNNNNNNNNNNNNNNNNNNNNNNNNNNNNNNNNNNNNNNNNNNNNNNNNNNNNNNNNNNNNNNNNNNNNNNNNNNNNNNNNNNNNNNNNNNNUUGUGGUUGUAACAAUUUGCCGCAUAGUGAAUAUUUUUCUUGAUUGUCGUUUGGCAACGGCCGUGGUUUUUCUCCACUUGGGGAAUUUUCCACAUUAAAUUAUCGUGUUCUCUUUAAUUUCUCAGUCAUUAUUUUAUUUUCUCAUUUGUUCCUGCUUGAAGCCGAUCCCAAGGGCGGGAAAAUAGCGAUUUUCCCAACAGUUAGGUGGGCACGUUUUUAUUUCUUAGACAGUUUCUCAAUUAUUUAAUUUUGUCCCUCUUAUUAUGGAAAAGAAUAAGCUGGUCCCUAAAUCAAGAUCUCUUUUCAAAAAUUAACUAUAAAAUUCUUAAUUUAUAUAUUCAUUAAUACUUUGAUUUUUCUAUUUAGAACCAAAAUAUUAAUGAAAUUAUAAUUUUAACAUCUCAUAAUCAGUUUUAUUAUAAUUUAGGAAUCAAUUUCUCAGUCAAUUGAUAGCUAAAAAUGCUAUUUUAGAAGAAAAGAUUAAAGCAUUAAUAAAAUUAUAAGAAACGGAUCUCAUUGUUACUUUUUGAAAAUAUAAAUUCUCAUGCUUUAGUUAUAAAUUUGGGAAUUAAUUUUAAUUUUUUUUUUUUGCGGCUCCUUCAUCCAUUUAUAAUGGUUCUACCAAACUCUUUUUUUUGUUUUUUUUCAUAACUUUGGCAAUUUUCUUGUCUUUCUUGUAGACAAUUAUUCUUGAAUUAUCACAAAAUUAAAAUGUUAAAACAUGAUUACAGCUUUGUCUAUUUUUCCACUAAAAAAGAAUAAUUUUGACCCUCUUAAAUUUCUCAAAUGAAAGAAAAUAAAGAUAUUUUAAUACCCAUAUGUUAAAAGAAUGUUGGGAUCGAUGCUUCCACUUAUCCCCUUAAUGAGAUUACCUAUAAUAAUCUUAAUGAAAAUUUAGAAAUCCUAAAAUAUCCUUAGUUAUUGGUCGAAUGAUAAUAGUUUGAGUUUUUAAUAAUCGAUAAAUUAGAGUUUUUUUAAUACUUUUUUGCUAAUUGAUUAAAAAAAUAUUAUUAUAUUAAUAUAUUAUUUUAAUUGAAUUUUCAAUUAUUGAUUAUUUACCAUAUUAAUUGUUUGAAAAAACAAAUUAUUAUUUUAAUUUUAAAAUCAACUUCAAAAUGCAAUAAAAUAAGAUAAAAUAAAAAUAUCUAUAAAAGAUAUUGUUUCAUACGUUUAUUUAUUUUUAUUUAUAUCUAUUUAUCUAUAUAGAAGUUUUCCAAUUUAUAUGGUAUAGAUAAAUGCAACAUUUCAAUUUUUUUUUUCUUUUUUCAUGAAUAUUGGUUGUCAAAAUAUCAUAUACUUGCAAAACAGGUUCUUCUAUAAACACAGGAGCCGCGCAUACGAAAGGAUUUUAGAUAUCUAUAUAUUCUCUACAUCUCAACACAAAUUAAUGAAAGCAAGAUACUCUUAAAAAAAAAAUCAAAAAAUGGAUAUAAUGUGGUCCUCAAAGCUUUCAAGUAAUUGGAAUUUGUGGAUCUCAAUACCAUUAAUCUAAACCGGUAUCAAAUCUAAAAUCAAAAUGAUCUUUUCUAUUACCGACUGGAAUUUGUUUAUGUGGAAGUUCAGAUAUAUUGUUUAUGUGGAAGUUCAGAUAUAUUUGAGAUCUUUAUUAUUAUUAUUUAUUUUAGAGUUUUAUUUAUUUUAUUUGAUUUUCAUGAAUUCAAAUCAACAUCCAACGACAUAGGAUAAUAUUAUUUAGUUUUUUUUAAAAAAGAAAUCGAUACUAUUAACCUUAUCAUUUUCAAAAAAAUUAAAAUCUAAUCUUAUAAUUAAUAAUAAUUUAUUCAUUUUAUCGUCUAUAAUCAUUUUAUUAAAUAUACUUGGCUUUUAAUGUUGUUCUAUGAUAUUAAAAUAAGUUUAUGAAAAAUAUUAUUUGCUUAUUAUUUGAAUAUUAAAAAAUUAAUACUAUUUAAGAAUAAAUUAUAAUCAUACUCAAUACUAUAUAAGAAUAAAUUAAUGAGUAUAAAUUACAAAAAAUACCAAACAAUAACAAUGCAACGCACGUGGUAAAAAAUAGUAAGUACUAUUUAAGUUUUGAUACAUUUUCUAAAUUGACUCUGUCAUGAAUUAACAUGAAAUAAAGUGAUCCUAGAGAACAAAACCGGUUCCCGCGGCCCAUCCCGAGCCCCGAAGGUUAAAACAUAUUUUGGAUUGGGCUUGGUCUUAGGCUUAGGCUCGAGUAGUGAAGAGUCUCAAAUAUUUUUAUUGGGACGGACACCGAAGCAAAACCCCGCAUAUAUUCGAAUACGUUGAAUGGUUAGUUGUAGACAUGAGUAAAACAUAUGACCAAGUGGAAUGACAUUUUUUAAGAAAUGUUUUGCUUAGAUUUGGUUUGGAUGUGAAACGGACGGACUUGAUCAUGAAUUGUGUUUCUACUGUUUCAUAUUCUUUGCUUAUUAAGGGGGAACCAACGAAAAAAUCUGGAAAGAUCGCUGACUUACGGACCCGAAUCAUUCCUGAAUUAUAUCUCCUCCUAUGAUUUUAGAUGAGAAUGCGACUGUGAACCGCCUUAUUCUCCAAGACCCAAAGCAUUGGAAUGUGGAUUUAAUCUCAUCUAUUUUUGAUCCGUUGGAAGCUAGGAGCAUUAUGUCUAUCCCUCUCACCAUGCGACGUACUAAGGACGUUUUGGCCUGGCCUCUUUCAAAGUAGGGUUUAUAUGCAGUACGCAGUAGGUAUCAUAUGCUGCCUGAGGCAAAAUUGUCUGGUUUGUACAGCUUCUCUUCUAAUCUGGUGCGUUCAACCCAGUGGAAGCAGAAUAUUCCCCCUAAGGUCAAGCAUUUUUGCUAAGAGCUUGUAUAAAUCACAUUCCUGUUGCUGAUGCACUUGUACACAAAGGUAUGCAUAUUGAUCCAGUUUGCUCCGUCUAUGGGUUGGCCAUGGAGAACACCAUGCAUAUUUUAAAAGACUACAUCAUAGCCCAACAUUCUUGGAAAUUUUCUCCUUUAAGGCUCAUAACGUUUGAUUAUCGAGUCUCUGAGUUUCCAGGAAUGAUUUGAGAUUAUUGUCAGUAAGUUUCAGCAGGAGCAUAUUGAGCUUUUUUCGAUGACUGCAUGGCAAUAUGGCAUUCUCGCAACUUGGUCAAGUUUCAGCAAAAGCGAUUGACAUUUGAGGAGAUUACCCAGAUGGCUAUUGUCUGCUCAACAGAUUUUCAGCGGGCGAACGAGAUGGAGGUAGAUUCCCAAGAUGUUACUAUAGAACAGAAAUGACAGCCUCCUUCGCAUGGUUCGUUUAAGUUGAAUGUUGAUGCAUCGAUUAAGGAGAUGGUGGGCUGUGGCUACGGUUUCAUUAUCCGUGACGAGGAGGGGAAUGUAAAUAUUAUGGGAUUUGGCACUCAAUGUUCUUAUGUAGUCAUUCCUCCUGAGGAAGCAGAAGCUGAUGCUGCUAGCUUUGGUCUUUUUAUGGCGAUGGAGUUGGGCUUUACUUCAAUAAUUCUGGAAACGAACUCUCUUAUGCUAGCUCACCAGUAUGAAUGCUCAACAAUUCCUCUCUCUGACUUUGGUACUAGCGUCUUAAACACAUAUAUGUUAGCUACGAAUUUUGGCAACUUCAAAUAUGUUCAUGUUAGUACUAGGGUCUUUAGAGGACGUUAUUUGGGUGGAGGAGGCCUCACCUCUAUUGAGAAUUUUGUUUUUGUUGACAAUCCUUUUCUGAAUUUGUAAUAUUCAAAUUUGAUUUUCUCCACAAAAAAAAAAAUAAUAAUAAUAAAAUAAUGAAAAACUACUACAUAAAAUAGUUAGUAUUCCUAAACAUACCCUAAAUAAAUAAAAUAAUUUUAUUUACUUCUUUUUAUAUAAGAUAAACCUUACAUUACAUUUUUUUUUUCAAUCAAAUGAAAUAGUUAAAAUUUUAGAUUUGUUAUAAAUAAUGAAAUAAUGAUAUUACAAGAAAUUCGCUUUUUUCUAACUAAAUUUUAAAACUCAGCGUCACAAGGUUAGUCCAUCUAAUUAAAUUGACUGAAUUUCUUAACUAAUUUGUUAGUAGAUAUAUUUUCCAAUCAAUGCUAACACUAUAUAUGUGUGUGAGAGUUCAUACUAUCAGCAUCAACUAAAUUUGAACAGCAAUCAUAUGGAAGUAACAAUUGUUAUGUAAAAUAAAGUAGAAAACAUGAAUUGAUACAAAAUUAACCGAAAUUAUAAAUAAAAAAAAAAAUUCUUUUUCAUCUAGCCUUUUACCAUAUAUAAUUAUCUCUAUUCUUUUAGAUAAUCAAAUAAUAAUAUGCAUUCUUUAAUUUAGCCUUUUAUAUUUUUCCCCAUGUAACCAAAAAAAAAAAAAAAAAAAACAAAUUUUAACUAAAUAUACGGCUAAAUAAGCAAAUAAAAUUAUCUUUUAAUAACUAAACAAACUGUCAUUUAUUUGGUGAACUUUGUUAUUCUUGAUGAAAUCAUUUCUCUGAGUGACCGUUACCUGUUUUUUAAUUAACCAAUGAGAUUUUGACAAUUCACUGCCUCUUCAUCUGUAAAAAUUGAGGCAUUUUUAAAUUUAGUGAGAAACAUGUGUUUAUUAGACACCGGUACACAUGGCAUAAGAGAUAGUAAUUAAAAAAAAAAAAGAAUAUAACCAUAGAGCAUAAUCUUAUACACUGCAUCUUAAAUUCUAAAUUAGUAAAUCAUAAACUCUGAGACCUCUAAGGAAACUCUACACUCCUAAAGACCUAAACUAUAAACUCUAAGAUCUUAAUAAGCCAUUAAUAUUUUUUUUUAUUUUUUAUUUUAUUUACAAUACUUGGAGCAUGGAGCAUGACCAAACAAUAAGACUUCAGAUUUUUUUUUUUUUUUUUUGAAAUGUAUAAGACUUCAGAUUUUGAUUCAGACGUUGGAUUCUUUCAUUCCAGAUAUUAUAAAGGAUUAUUUUUUAACUGAUUUAUCAUUCAUCACUCCUCGUAUAACUAAUAUUUAUGUCUGCUAAAAUGUUAUUAGUAAAUAUUAAAAAAAAGACAUACGAAAAACGUUUUUUUUAACUAAUGAACUUCGUUUUCAGAUAUUGUAUUAUUAACUUUAAUAAACAAUUGUAUAACCUAUCAAACAGUCAAUUAGAUAGAUUUAUUAAAUCGUGUAGAACGUUGUGUCUGCUGGGUUCCACCUAUGGCUGCUUUUCUCAAGUUGAAUAGUAAUAAUUAGGCUAUCUUUGAAUUACGUUUCAAUUGAUAACACAUCAAUUGAUAACGCAGACUGAACAUGUGGACAGAAAUUUUAGGUUCAAUUCCAUUAAAUAAAACGUGCCAGAACCCAAAGACACUGUCGGUAUAAGAUUUAUCUAACUGAUAUUUCUUACACACUUCCAUUUUGACACUUCUAAAACAUUUAAAAAUUUUAUAAAACUUUUAUAUAAAUUUAUUAAUAAAAAAUUUUGGAUUGUGGUAUUAAAUAUAAAUUAAAUAAUUAUCUGCAGUUCAAAUAAAAAAAAUUAAAAGAUAUGUAAAAGAAGGAGAGAAAAGACGCAAAUCAUUAUUUACAAUUUGUAAGUUUAUUGGAUAUAUAUUUAUUAUUGUCAAAUUUAAGAGCUGGUUCACAAUAUUGGAUAUGUAAAUUUUUAAUUAUAAAAAUUUUGGGCUUCUAUCAAGUAAAGCCUACAAUAUUAUAUUAAGCGAACUAAAAUAUGAUAUUGAAAAUGAAUGCAAUUUAUAUAAAUAACUCCUAGAUGAGGGCCAUAAUUUUUAACAAAGACAUUGAUAUUAAAGAAUUAACUAAUCAUGCUAGAGCCGAAAGUUAUGUUGUUUAGUUUAUAUUUAUGUGUGAUUGUGAAUGAUUAUUUAUUUAUUUAAAUUUUAACAAAUUAUAUCUUUUUUAUUUAUUAAGAGGCUCAACAAGUUGAAACAACAUUUCGGGCUAUAUAAUAAAAGUAAUUUUGCUCACUAAAAUUAUGAAACUCUUGUGGUCGAGAGGAUUUGAACCUCAAACCUCUCAUUCUCUACUUUUGAUAUAAGUGAAAAGACGAAACAAACCAGACAUUAUUACUAAUAAUAAAUUAUAUUUUUUAAUAUAGUAUAACUUACUUUUUUUUUUUAAUUCUAGUAUUUCAUGUUUCGUGUCUGUAUUAUAUUAGAUCCUACGUUCUAUAUUUAUAUCUAUGCAAUAUAAGAGAGGACUUUAUUUAAAUACCACCUACGAUUUAAUAAUAAAAAAAGUGUAAAUAAAAAAUAAUAAAAUAAUAAAUGGUCAGCUAUUAAUAAAUGGGAGGGCAAAGUAAAUUUUUGAUUUAAAUUGUGUAUGGUAUAGUAACAUUAAAAUUGCUUUUCUUUAUUGUUAAACUUAUCCACAAAAACUUACCAUAAUCAAGGAAGAUCGUACAACGUUAUUCUCGUGUCGAAUAACACUUGUUAGAUUUACUUAAUGGGCCCCAGAUAUGCGUGUUAGCUUUUAGUAUGAUCAUUUUACAUUAUAAAAUAAAUUAUUUACACUAAUACCUUCAUCAAAUCAAGAUGUAACUCACUAAUAAUAAACCCCUAUACAUCCCCAUCGCAAGCUACGUGCAUGUUAUCCAGCAAAAGCAAGUCUCUUCGCUUUCCUCUUUCCCGCGCUCAUUCGCCGUAGCUCUGAACUUGAAAUCCUUUAGGGAAAAACCAAUAUGGCCAUGAACGUCUCCUCCACAGAUUUCCUUACCCCAGCCGCCGCAGCCACCUCAACCUCCAGUACCAACACCAUCAAAGCUCUACUCGUCACCCUAUUUAUCUCCAUUGUUAGUACAGUUAUAAAACUUCAAAGGAGAGCUGCUCUCAAAAAAACCAGCAAAAUUCUCCCACUACCUCCCGGCCCAAAACCCUGGCCAUUCGUCGGAAACAUACCGGAAAUGAUCCGGUAUAGACCGACUUUCCGGUGGGUUGAUCAACUCAUGAAAGAAAUGAAUACCGAUAUUUGUCUUAUUCGUUUCGGGAGAACUAAUGUUAUUCCUGUCAAUUGUCCGAUUAUUGCACGUGAACUGCUCAAGAAAAACGACGCCAUUUUCUCUAACAGGCCAAUGAUUCUUUCUGCUAAAGAAAUGAGUGGUGGUUAUCAAACUGCCAUUGUCGUCCCUAACAAUGAUCAGUGGAAGAAAAUGAGAAAAAUAUUAACUUCAGAAAUUGUUUCACCUGCUAAACAUAAGUGGCUGCACGACAAAAGAGCAGAAGAAGCUGAUAAUCUUGUAUUUUAUAUCCAUAACCAGUACAAGGCCAACAAUAAUGUCAAUCUGCGACUUGUUGCAAGGCAUUAUUGCGGAAAUGUGAUAAGAAAAAUGAUGUUCAGUAAAAGAUACUUUGGUGAAGCAACGCCAGAUGGCGCACCGGGACGCAUGGAGAUAGAACAUGUGGACUCAGUUUUUGCUGUUUUGAAAUACUUAUACGCAUUUUGUAUUUCUGAUUUCAUGCCUUUCUUGCUAGGGCUUGAUCUUGAUGGACAGGAAAAAUUUGUUCUUGAAGCUAAUAAGACUUUAAGGGCUUUUCAUAAUCCUAUUAUAGAUGAAAGGAUUGAACUGUGGAGGAGUGGUCAAAGGAAGGAAAUGAAAGAUUUGCUUGAUGUUUUUAUUACUCUUCAGGAUUCUGAUGGAAAGCCAUUGCUGACACCUGACGAGAUCAAGAGUCAAGUAGCUGUAAGAACUUAAAACCUAUAUAUUUACAAGCUUAAAUAUUUUCCUGAUUCAUGAUAUUUUGAUUUUUCCAUUUGUUGCUUUUUCCUCAUUCAAGAAUUUCAAUAUAAAAUAAGAUGAAAUGAAUAGAACAUAAAUCUUACAAAUUCAAGAAAUAAUAAAUAUGAUAUUUUUGUUUGAAAAAAAAAAUACAUGUGCAGAUCCUUACAAAAUCCUGUAUUACAAAAACUUUGCAGGAAGUUAUGAUAGCGACAAUAGAUAACCCUUCAAACGCAGUGGAAUGGGCCAUAGGAGAAUUGCUAAACCAACCAGAAAUUCUUAAGAAAGCAACAGAAGAAAUAGACAGGGUGGUCGGAAAAGACAGACUUGUCCAAGAAUCAGACAUCCCUGAUCUUAACUAUGUCAAGGCAUGUGCAAGAGAAGCUUUUAGGCUCCAUCCUGUAGCCUACUUCAACCCACCUCACGUUGCUGCGCAAGACGCUGAAAUUUGCGGUUAUUUGAUCCCUGAAGGUAGUUGGGUCAUGCUCAGCCGAUAUGGUCUGGGCCGAAACCCAAAGACCUGGCCUAACCCACUCAAGUACGACCCUGAACGCCAUUUGAAUGAAGGAGAAGUGGUUUUGACCGAACAUGGCUUGAGAUUCAUAUCAUUUAGCACGGGAAGGCGCGGUUGCAUCGCGGCUUUACUCGGAACUUGCAUGACUACUAUGUUAUUGGCAAGAAUGCUUCAAUGCUUUACCUGGAAUCUGCCGGAUAAUGUCGAAAAGAUUGAUCUUUCCGAAGGGGUCGACGAGCUUUUUCCGGCCAAUCCCGUGGUGGCUUUUCCAAAGCCACGUUUGGCUCCUCAUCUUUAUCCUACUUCGCCAUGAAUGAAUGAACGGAGGGAUAUUAAGAUAUGCAAUUAAUUCAGAAUACUUUGAAAUCUGAAAUAAAUAAAUAAAAUCCGACUUGCAUGGUUAUAUCUGACUUGCAUGGUUAUUAUGUUAGGAGGUGAAAUUUAUGAGUAGAAGUUGCAUGUGGUGGUAGCUUUAUUGAAAGUAUCUUUACAACGUUUUUGUAUUUCAUCAAUGGUUGCAACUGUUUCAUUAAGUAAAUUUGCUAUUAAUUAAAAAAAAAGUCUUUCUUUCAUUUCUUUUAAUUAAUUUAGGCUUGCAACUUUAUAAUCUUGAACCAGUAUUAGCAUUGAUGGAAAUGGACUCAUAAACAAUCCGUCAGAAUCCCAAUAAAUGUAAAUAGAUCCAAAAGAUUUGAAAAUCAAUUGUAAAAAGAAAAAGGGAGAUAGAAGAAGACCCAUGCAAGCUCAUAGUUGUAAGGUUUUGAUAGUUGAAUGUGAAAGAAUUUGUAUUGUAUUGUUGUAUGAUUUACAUUAUACGACACCCUUAGAUACAUUAAGAUACACUCAAAUUCAUAAUAGGAUACACUCAAAUCAUAAUAGGAUACACUCAAAUCAAAAUUAGAUACAUUAAGAUCAAAUUCAUAUAAACUUGGAUCACUUAGAUUUUAUUCUGAUAUUGAUAUGAAAAAUAUCAAUGGAGUAGAUGAGUAGUACAUAUAUAGAAGAGAGAAAAGAGGAGUGCGAGAGAGUUUAGAGUUGCGAUGCUGAUUAGCAUAACCUUGUUUGUCUUCGUUGACAUAGAUAAUGCUUCUUUCUCUUUUCACAUCCUUUUCACCAUAGAAAUUACUUGUAUACUUUCAGUGUGGACCAAUAUCGUAAAGUUAAAGUAAUAAAGUUUAAGAGAAAAUUAUAUAUUCAGUCGUUUUUAAGUUUAUAUUUAUGUGUUAUUAUGAAUAAUUAAUUAUUUAUUCGAAUUUUUAAAUAAAUUUUAAUAUAUUGUGGCAUAUUUUUUAAAAAAUUGUCAUGUCCAUUACGUGUCAUAUUAUGUCUCAUUUCCCAUGUCUAUAUCUAUGCAAUAUAUAUAAGAGAAGGCUUUACAUUGCAUAUAGAUUAGCUCUUUUUUGAAUUUUGUUAUAAAUAUCUAAUAUAAGUCGUGAGCUAUUAUAAAAAUGGGAAGGGAAAGUAAAUUUUGAUUUCAAUUGUGGUAUGGUACAAUAAAAGUAUUUGCUUUCUUUAUUGGAAUUCAUUCAUAAAAACUUGAUUUUAUGUGUCAAAAUACGUCCAACUGUGCAAGUUUUAUAAUUUGACUUUAUUUUGAUAUUAUUUUUAUCAAUUUUUCCUUAAUAUCUAUCUUUAUAACAAUUACAUCCUCAAAUAUAGAUAAUAUGAAAAUAAGGUUCGUAUUUAUAUUUCUUUAGAUUUAUUUUUAUGUCAUGUUUCAGGAUUUUUUGUUCGGUAAUAUAAAUUUCUAUUAUUAAAUUAUUAGAUAACCCAUUUAUUUUAAAAUUAAAAUUUAAUUUAUGUAAGAUUAAUUGGAUAGAGUAAUGGAAUUUUUUUAUAUUUAUAUUUUUAAAAAUUUUCAAAGUGUAACAUGAUGAUUUAGAAAUGUUGGAAAUACUUUUUUUAUAUUUGUAAUUCUAGCAUUAAUUGCCGUGGAGUAAAAUUGAAGUAAAUGGUUCAAAUUGAAGUAAAAUUAAUAAAAAAAACAUUAAAAUAUAGGAAAAUUGUUACUUUUUAUACAUCAAGUCAAUCUAUUUAAAUUAUUACUUUUUUUAUCCUUUUUAUAUAAGUAAAUGAUAACUCAGAGAAAUACUCUCGUUUGAAUUAAAAAGUUAUUUUCUGAUUGGUUUAGCCCAUCAUAUACGAGGAGUAGAUAAGUUAUUUCCAUUGAGUAAAGUCCUUCAAAUAGCAAGCACACCAAUUUUGAAUCCUUUACACCAGUAAGUAAAAUUAGGGGAUCCAAUGGAUUGGACAUCUCUUUAAUUGACUCGUCAAAUUAGUGAACAUCUCUCACUUUUUAUACUAAUGAAAAGACUAAUCAAACUAGACCAAGUUGGUAAAUGGAGUGAACUUCAACCCAACUGCAUAUUGAUUAUACACUAUAUCUUUUUCAGAUGUACAUGAUUUACAAAUGAAGAUAAAAAAUAAAAAACUUUCUUUAAAUAUUUAAUGCUUCAGUUGUCUCUGUUAUUGUAAGCUCAUCUCUUCAUUUUUCUUUUGUAUCCUCAUUGGAAGCCAUACAAAGUUAAUACAAAACCAAUAGGCUAACCCAGCUACAUACACUGCUCAACCAUUUGUCGUAUAUUGUUGAUUCUCGAAAUACAUAUAUAACAGCAAAAUUCCAUUAAACCCACAAUGUUACUCACGUCACCACCCCAAUGUUAUUCCUGUGUUGGUUUGUCUCUAACUUUAUAUCGGUUUGUAUUUCUUCUGUUAUACUGGUUACACAAUUAGGAAAAUUAGUCAUACUUCUUAAAUUAGUAAUAUGCAGACAUUGUUCGGCAAAAUUAAUUAUUUUAGUAUGUUUAUUUUAUAAUAGUAAAAAAAAACUAAAUCCCACUUGAAAAACUUUUACCAAAAAAGACCUUUAAGUAUUUAUAUUAACUAGCAAGUCAAGAAUUUGAAUGCUACUGUUUCUGUCCUUUUUCAAAUAUCUUACUGGGCAAAGUUUUCAUAUAAAUUGGUAAACAACCGCUUGUUAGCGUAUAAAGAGAGAUCAAUCCCUAAUUACCAAUCCUUCUUCUUAUAUGAUUUUCAUGGCUAGCAAUAGAAUCUCCUAUGCCUUAGAAUUACUUUGCAUAGAUCCUUUACCAUUCAAAGUAUUUCUAAUUCUUUUAGCCAUUUUAAUCUUCCUUCUCAUGUCAAGACCCCAAUGUUAUUCCUGUGUUGGUUUGUCAAGGGUUAAACCCACAAAACGUGGCAUUAUUAGUAAAUGGAUGCUUCCUGUCACGCCAAUUACGUUGGUGUUGAUCGUGCAAUGCUUAUCUUCUUCCAAUGGUACUUUCUUUGCCACUUUAUCGCCAUUGUUCUUGUUUUCUAUCAGGAAUUCGCAUUGGUUUGUCUCUGCUUUGAUUUGGCAGUUACUUGUUAUGGCAUAUUUCCAAUUAACCAUACGUCAGAAAUUGUAUUCUUCCUUUUAGGAAAAUUUAAUUCACUGUUGCAGUUGUUUUUUGAGGGAGAACUAAUUGGGUAUUAACAGAAACAAAAAGUUUCUUUUUUUAUGAAAUUUUAUUUGAAAUUUCAUAUUCUUAUGUUUGGUAAAAUGAAAAUUUACUCAUUUUAAUUUUCAUAGAUUCCAUUAGUGAUUGAGAUUUUAGUGUACUUCCUUGGAGCAUAAUUCUUAUUAUUAAGUUAAAAAAACAAGUUUGUGUUAAUUAAUUAAUAUCUAUUUAAAUUGAUUGAUUCAAGAUAGUUAUUUUUAUUUAAUUAUUCUCUAUUCAAAAGCUAUGAAAUUGCAGUGAUAUAAGGCUGCCUUACCAGAUUUUAGCAUUGUUGAGGACAAAUUAGAAUCGUUCUUUCUACUUCUUUUUGUAUGUAAAGAAGAGAAAUAUACAAAACACCAAGAAAUGGUUUCAUUAUACAAACUGUAACUACACAAAUUUAACAUGAAAAAGAAAAAACAAUGGAGAAAAUCUCACUUGAGCAGUCAAACUUGUAUGAGAUCAUAGAGCAUUUUCUUUUUUUUCUGUUUUUAAAUACAUGAUCGCUACAUAAAAAGGAAAGGAAAUAUCAAAGCUGACCCAAAAAAAGGUACUACGUGCUUCAACAAAUGCUGUAGAUAAUUCUGCAACAUCAUCUUCCGCCAGAUAGCUCGAUAGCAUCCUGGUUAUAUAAUGAAUCUUCUCCCCAGUCAAAUCUUCUUUGCAGCCUUUCAUAUUCUUGCCUGCGCGAAACCUCAAUAUGCUGCCACUCAUAAUGCAACCUGGAUCAUCAUCUCCAGGUUAAGAUUUUUUUAAGAUUUUUUUUUUUAAAGAUUUUUUCUAAGGAAUUGUCAAUUUUCAUUUAUCUCAAGUGUUGUUUAUGAUUUUUUUUUUUUUUUUUUUUUAAAUAUCCCGCUUCAUUUGUCAAUUUAGAAAAUCAAGAAAACAUUAAUUACUUGUUUCAACCUUUACCCUUGAUGUUUGGUAUUUCCCCUAAAUAAGCAUUAAUUAUUUAUAGAGUUGAUACGAGAGUAUGUAUUCAAUUACAACUAUUUUUCGCUGAAACUAAGGUUAUUUAAUGAUUUUCUGAAUCCUUGUGCAAUUAUCUCAAACAACACUUGGAACGGAGGUAUAUAUAUAUAUAUAUAUAUUAUUGAAUUCAAUGUCCUAUUUUAAAUUACAUGUGAAAGAGGUGCACAAGGUUCAUAGGAAUCAUAUUCCUUAAGAAUUCGAUAAUACUAUGUAUACUGGGGUUUCCUAAUCCUUGCCAAUAUAGAUCAGUGCUGUAACUAUUUUCAUGAUUGGAACAUAGUUUAUAAUUCCUAUUCAAAUACAAAAUUCUUAGUAAACAUAGUGUACCAUGUCAAUUGCAGACAAAGCCUUUCCAAAUGACACAGUGUUGUUAAAUGAUAAUUAAAAAUCAAAUAUUAACAUUCAUCUGAAUGGUAAAUUCACAAGUUCAGCAUCGAUGAGUGUUUAAAAUUGACCAUCUUUCAAUAACUAUCUAAUUUAUUAGGUUUAGCAUACAACUUCCAUUGUUGACGGUCUAAAUAAAAUUUUCUCAUUCAAACAUCCAACUUCCUCUUGUUCUCCACCAUGUCCCUAAUAAUAUGGAUUUAUCCUUGCCUAAUCUCUGUUGUAACAGAAAUCUAGAACGACAUACUAAGUUGAUAGGGAAUAUAUGGCCUACUCCAAAAUUAUCUAUUGAGCAGCCAGACACUCUUUGAAGUUAUGGAGUGUAGUACAAAGCAUAGUGAUGGCAGACGACUUUCUAAUGCCAAUUUAGUAAAGCUUCUCCUGUGCACCUUUGAUAAGUAUUUUAUCAAAUUUGAAUCAUUCUGAAUUUUAAUAACAGCAAUCUAACUGAAGUAUUCUUUUAUCCACUCUGGAAUAGACCUAAACAGGCAUGUCAAAUGGUAUGCAAUCAGUUGUUCUUAGUUUGCUCGAGACAGAAAAUCUCCCUACCCCUCAAAGCAUAUAUAACCUUAGGUAUGCAUUACAUCUCGAACUAAAAAAAAUAAUCUUUCUAGAUAAUCAGUUGAUUAGGAUUGAACAGAUUUAAGCAAGCUUGAGAGAACAAUGAACAAAUCAAUGAAUAAUAGAAAGAAUGAAUGGAAGUUGCAGAGAGAUCAAUCAUUCUCUACUGCAUCUCUAAACCGUAAUACUCUGUUCUACCAAAUAUCUGCUGUACAAGAGAGUAUUUAAGAUCUAUUGGACAAAUAACUAACUAUGAGUUUUGCUAAGAAUACUGAGCUGUGAUGAUUAUUGGGCAAUGGUGCUGUGAUAUUUAAUAUGGACAGACUGUGACUGAAGUAUCUCCUAUACCCCCUCCUCAAGCUGGUGUUGGGGAGAAGUCAACCAACCCAAGCUUGGAAGAAAAGGACUGAAACAUGGUUGUGGAUAGGGGCUUAGUGAACACAUCUGCAAGUUGCAAUGUUGAAGGCAGGUAAGGUGUGCUAAUGAAGCCUAAGAGAAGCUGGGAUCUGACAACAUGACAAUCAAUGUCGAUGUGUUUGGUCCUUUCAUGAAAAACGGGGUUGGCAGUGAUGUGAAUUGCUGCUUUGUUGUCACAAUGAAGUGGUAUUGGUGUUGGGAUUGUAAUGUGGAAAUCAGAAAGAAGGGAAUGCAGCCAUUUUAUUUCACAAACUGUUGUAGCCAUGGACCUAUACUCGGAUUCUGCAGAGGACCUGCUUACAGUGCUCUGUUUCUUUGAUUUCCAUGAGACCAAAGCAGUGCCUAGGAAAAUACAGUAUCCUGUAGUAGACUUUCUAGUAUCAGCACAUGAUGCCCAGUCUGCAUCAGAAAAAGCUCUGAGCUUCAUGUCAUUCUGUGAAGGGAGGAAUAGGCCUCUAUAACUGGUUCCCUUCAAAUACUUGACCACUGUCAAUGCAGCCUUAAGGUGUUGUUGAUCAGGUGAUUGCAUGAACUGACUUAGCUGCUGGACAGCAAAGCUAAUGUCAGGUCUUGUUAGUGACAAAUACAGAAGUCUGCCAACAAGUCUCCUGAAAACAUCGGGAUUUUGGAGAGGAGAUCCCAUGUCUGAACUGAGCUUCAGUCCCUGAAUAAAAGGGCUAGAGCUUGGUUUUGCAUUCUGCAAUCCAGAAUCUUUGAUGAUAUCUAUGAUGAACUUGUGUUGAGUGAGAAGAAUUCCUUCAGUUGAUCUAGCAAUUUCAAUGCCAAGAAAAUAUUUUGCAUAUCCCAGGUCCUUUAUAGUAAAUUGGUGAUGCAGAUAGUCUUUGAGGUCUUGAAUGAGCUCCUCGGAUGGGCCGGGUAUAAUGCAAUCAUCAACAUAAACCAGAAUAGCAAGAAAGGAAUCGCCUUUGCCUUUUGUGAACAGGCAGUUGUCAAACAUGGACUGUUGAAACCCUUUAGAAAUUAAACUUGCAGAAAGUUCCUUGUUCCAUUGUCUCCCUGCUUGCUUUAAUCCAUAGAGAGAUCGCUGCAAUUUACAUACUUGGCCUUUGUGAGCUUUGUCAUAACCUGGUGGUACUUGCAUGUAUAUAGUUUCAUCAAUGGAUCCAUGCAAGUAGGCAUUGUUGAUGUCUAGUUGAUGAACAGACCAAGCUUUAGCUGCUGCCACAGUUAAGAACACUCUUACAGUUACUAACUUUGCCACAGGAGAAAAGGUCUGGUUGUAAUCUAAACCCAGCAACUGACUGUAACCCUUUGCCACAAGUCUGGCCUUGUAUCUGUCAAUGCUUCCAUCUGGUUUAUACUUGAUCCUGUAUAUCCACUUACAUCCCACAGGUUUGACAUUAGGAGGUAAAUCAGUUAGUGUCCAUGUAUUGUUAUUUUCAAGAGCAGUUAAUUCUUCAUGCAUGGCAGCUACCCAAUUUUUAUCAUUUUUAGCUUGAUUAUAAUUGCUAGGUUCCUUGACUUUAGACACAUGUGCAACAAAGGUUUGGUGUGAGGGUGUGAAAUGAAUAGAAGCUGGUGUUUGAGUGGAUGAGAUGUGAGAAACCACAAAGUCUUGUAACCAGGUUGGUGUAUGUUUGGUUCUUAUGCUUCUUCUUAAAGCAGGAGCCUGUACUGAAUCUGCUGAUAAAGAUUCAGGAAUAGGUGGUUGGGUAAUAGCUGGUGCAGUAGUACUGGGCUGUGAUGUGCUGUGUGGAGACAAAUUUGAUGUUCUAUUAUCUGAAGAUGAGGGAGUUGUAUUAUUUUCGGUGAAUGGAGGGGAGGGUGGUAUUGGUGAAGUAUUUCUGGAUGGAUUUUGCUAAAAAACAUCAAAUGUGGUUACGGGAAAUGAAAUUGGGGAUAGAUGUGUAUCAGAAAUGCAAGUUGGUAGUGUAAAGUUUGUUAUGGUUUCAGGUGUUUUGUGGUGAAAAGGGAAAAUGGUUUCAAUAAAGAUUACAUCUCUUGAAUGGAAUACAGUUUUGGUACUGAGAUUGUACAACUUAUACCCUUUAUGCUGUUGAGAAUAACCAAGGAACACGCAAGGAUGGGCUCGGGGCUCAAACUUCAGUUUGUGUGGCAGUAUAUUAGUUGAGUAACAUAAACAUCCAAUGACUCUGAAGUGGGCAUAUUCUGGAGGUUUAUUAUAUAAUCUUUCAUAGGGUGUUUGCCAUUUGAGAUUUUCAGAAGGAAUUCUAUUUGAUAUGUAGGUUGCCGAUAACAAGGUUUCAGACCAGAAUUGAGUUGGGAAUUUGGCUUGGUGGAAUAUAGCUCUAGCAAUAUUUAUUAAGGUUCUAUGUUUCCUUUCCACUACUCCAUUCUGUUGAGGAGUAUGUACACAAGUUCUUUGAUGAAUAAUGCCUUUUUCAAAAAAAAAUUUCUGACAUUCAGAAUUUAUGAAUUCUGAGCCAUUAUCAGAUCUGAAGAUCUUGAUAUUUUGUUAGAAUUGUGUAAGAAUUAACUGGUAAAAAGAUUUCAAGGCAGAUGGCACUUGAAUCUUGGUUGUUAACAUGUAAGUCUAGCAGUAUCUACUGUAAUCAUCCACUAAAGUCAACAUAUACACUGCAUUUGUAAGAGAUUUAACACUGUAUGGUCCCCAUAAAUCCAUAUGUACAAUCUCAAAAGGUUUUAAAGUAGAAAUUUGACUAGUGAAAAAAGGUAAUCUGGUUUGUUUAGCAAGAGGACAAACAGGACAUGCCAUAUCCACAAAAUCACAGUCAUGUACAUCAUUUACAUGUUUCAAUCUCUUAUUAGAGAUAUGACCUAAUCUAGCAUGCCACAACAUUGCCAGAUGUUUAUUAUGACUAUUACAUUGAGCUAACACAUUGUUUCCCUUAUUUUGAAUGAAAGAUUCUUUUGUCAUGUAGUAUAGAUCUUCAUAAACUUUUCCCACUGCCAGUAAUUCCUCAGUCUAUAAAUCCUGGAGUAAGCAGUCUUCAGGAAAUGAGUGCACAGACAAAUGACAUGUUUUGGUGAGUAAGUUGACUGAAAUAAGGUUGCAGCUAAAGGAAGGGACAUACAACACAUUGUAUAGAGUAAUUCUAUUAUUCAGUUUAAUAUUUCCAAUGUGAGUAACCUGUCUAGUGGAAUUGUCAGGUAAUCUAAUGGUUUUGGGAGGGUUCAAUUUUUGUACAAGGUCAAAGAAUGAUAGAUUGGCAGUGAUAUGGUCUGUUGCACCUGAGUCUAUUAUCCAGUUACUUUUGCAAUUAAAAUCAAUGCUAUAAAUGACAGAAUUGAGUAAGGUACCUGCAAAGUGAACACUCCUGAUGUCGGCAUCAACUUGCUCCGUCUGAUAAUCCAUUUGCUGCUGCAGUGGUGUAUCAUUCAUCUGAACUGCAUUCCCCGUGUUCGUUCCAGUCAUGUUGAUUCCUUUCUUCUUUUGCAAUUCAAUGAACCAGUCUGGAUAUCCAUGAAUUUUGAAGCAGUUAUCUAUGGUAUGACCAUUCAUUUUGCAUUUGGAGCAAUAUUUGUCUUUCUUGUCUUCCUUUCUGUUGUAGUAUGGUUUCCUAUUACCAGUUGCAGCUGAAUUGUUGUAAUUGCUGUUGUAGUUCCUUCUAGCUAACAAUACUGUUGAAGUUUCACUAGAUUCCACAUUCAAUGUAUUUACCUCUCUUUGCUUCUCAACACUUAAAAUCAUGGAAUAAGCUUUGUUGAUUGAAGGAAAUGUAUCCAUUAAAAGGAUAUGAUUCUUUACAUUGUCAUAUUCAUCACCUAGUCCCAUUAGAAACUGCAUUAGCCUUCUACUGUUGUCAUAUUCUGUGAUUGCGUUUGUUUGGCAGCAACAUGUAGGUAAAGGUGCCAAACACAGUAAUUCAUCCCAUUUUCUUUUGAGAUUUGUAUAAAAACUUGUGACAGAUUCGUUUCCUUGCUUGUAACUUGCAAUUUCUCUCUCAAUCUUGUAUAUCAUUGGGCCAUUACACUCUCCAUAUCUCUGUUUUAGCUCAUCCCAAAGUACUUUUGCAGUUUUGCAAAAUACAAAAGCAUCUGAUAUCUCCUUAGACACAGCAUUAAUGAUCCACGAAGCUACCAUGCUAUCUGCUUGUAACCACCUCUCAUAUUCUUCUGACUGUGAUUCAGGUUGAGCUAUGGUUCCAUUGAUAAACCCUAACUUGUUCUUCGCCCUGAGAGCUACCAUUACAGAUCUGCUCCAUGAGAUAUAAUUCUCUGGUCCUCUUAAUGAAGAAUUUACCAACCGAAAUCCAGGAGAUUCUGAGUUAUUCACAUGUAAAGGAUCAUUAUCAUGAUUUUUGCUAGUAACUGCGGCGAUAAGUCUUGCCACAUCUUCUGGAGUCAUCAUCUUGAUGUUUAACCAGAUCUAAAACAAAUUUAACUCUUGAAUUGCAGAAAUCCAAGAAACAGAUUAGUUAACCUGCUCUGAUACCAUGAACAGGAUUGAGCAAGCUUGAGAGAACAAUGAACAAAUCAAUGAAUAAUAGAAAGAAUGAAUGGAAGUUGCAGAGAGAUCAAUCAUUCUCUACUGCAUCUCUAAACCGUAAUACUCUGUUCUACCAAAUAUCUGCUGUACAAGAGAGUAUUUAAGAUCUAUUGGAAAAAUAACUAACUAUGAGUUUUGCUAAGAAUACUGAGCUGUGAUGAUUAUUGGGCAAUGGUGCUGUGAUAUUUAAUAUGGACAGACUAUGACUGAAGUAUCUCCUAUAAGGAUAAAAUUCUAUCCUCUAGAAACCGUACAUGCGCCUUUUGAUGCAUACGGUUCAACACAAAUUGCGAAAACAAAAAAAAGAAUCAAUGUGUAGAUUCCAGCCCUCCUUUGACCAGCUAUUACAUGAUCAUUGAGCAAUAUGUUUGGCGCAUGCUUUCAGGAAUAUAUAAAAUUAGCCACAUCUACAAUGCAUAAAAUGCCAAUGAAUGAAAAAGCAAAUUGUUAGUUGCUUCCAUUUAAAUAUAAGGCGAACGGGUAAUACCUCUUAGACGAUAUGCCACACGUAAAUUCGGCAUAAAUGGAUAAACUAAAAGGCGUUCUGAUGGUGUUGCGCAAAAACCUAUCAGCCGUAGUAGAUUCCUUUUAACAGCUACGCUUAUCAUCUCAACCUCACGUUGGAAAGCUGCAUCUCCUCCUGGACUUUCAAAAUCAGUUAAACGCUUAACAGCUAUUUUUGUGUUAUCUUGAAGCACUCCUUUAUAAACUUUUCCAAAACCUCCCUGUCAAAAUCUAAUUCUUUAGAGAUACUCAACUAACUCUCAAUUGAAACAUUCUAUUCAGGUACACAAUAUCAAUAUAUUUCAUUCAAUUUUAAUUAUUUAUCAUUAUCUUACUGAUUUAAACAUCGUACCGAUUCCACAAAUAGCAUAGAGGACGAAUGACAUAUCUAAAGGUGUUAUAAAUCAUCCAACCCUCAAUACAAUAUUUUAUUAUCAUAUAGUCUCUCUUUUUUUUUUUUUUUUUUUUUUGGCUAUCAGAUAUUUUUCAAUUAUAUUUUUGCAUUUAUAAAACUAAAUUUUGUUUUGUUUAGAGGAGUUUAAUAACACAUCUCUUCACAAUAUAUAAAGUUAACAGUUUGAUUGUUUUAGGUUUUUGGAGUUUGGAUCAAUAUAUUAACAUACUCUAUACUUUGUAGGUUUCUGCAAUUUCUCUAUAUUUUGACCUUUUUAUUAAUUUUACUUUAAUUUUGAUAUUGUCUAACAAUAGCACCCUUAAUUGCAAUUAAAAUAAAAUAGCAAUAGAAAAGUCUUUCCAUCAUUUUUAUAAAUUAUAAUAUCAUGUGGCACUUAUUAAAAAUUUUAAAAAAUUUCAUUAGUCUUAUCCAAUUAAUGUUGUAGAAUAAAUUUUAAUUUUUGAAAUAAACGUGCUAAUUAAUAAUUUAAUAACCUAAAUUUCUAUUACUUAAAAAAAAACACAAAGCAUAUGACAUAAAAAUUAAUUUAAAUAAAUAUAAUUUUUUUCAAUUAAGUAUUUUAUUUUCAUAUUUCUAUAUUUUAAGGAUGAAAAAAAAAUCCUAAUUGUUAAUUCUUUUGAAUUGAUAAUAUAGUCAAAUUAUAAUUCAUUUGAUAUAAAAUAAAUAAAUAACUUAUUAAUUAUUUUAAUUGCAUAUAUUUCAAAUAUCAUAUUUCUAAAUCUAUAAAUUAUCAUCAACUAUAUGUGAAUAUAAUUAGAUAUUCAAAAGACAUUUAAAUUUUUAUUUUUAUUAUUAACUUUUUAAAAAUUUACUGAUGAAAAUGAUUUUUUAUUUACAAUUUCAUCAUUAAUUGUAAUUGAGUGUGCUAUUACUAUAAAAGAUUGAAAUUGGAAUAAAAUCGACAAAAAAAAAAAAGAUGAAAUAAUACAAAUUCACAAAAUUUGGGGUAUUCUAAUACAUCAUAUCUUGAGUUUUGAUUUACUUUUAUAUGAAAUAAAAAAACAAAAUAAUUAUUAUAUUAUAUGAAUAGAAUAUUUAUUAUUAUAUAAUUUGAAAAUUUGUUUGAAAUAUUAUACUAAAGUUUAUAUUCUCAUAAAAAAAACUCGUAUGGAUAUAUAUAUAUAUAUAACCCUAUAUAUAUUAAAUGAAAGUAUAGUUUAUCUUUCAUAAAAUAGUAAAUAGUAAAUGGAUGGGAAUACUAUGGAGUGUAUAUGACAGGAAAAUUUAUUUACGAAAUUCUGAGUGAGAAAUAAAUAGGAAUUUAAAGCUAGCAUUAUUUGCAAAUACUCCUUUAUACAAUCCAUGUACUACAAUCAAUUAUUAUGUACUCCAUUUUUUGUUUUUAAAUAAAUAUUUUUGGAUAUUAGAAAUACACACACAACUUAAACUUUUAGGUGACAACGGUUAAGAGACAAUUAUAACUCGUGAGUUAUUUAUAACACAUUAUUAUUAUAAGCUAAUUAAAAUUUUUGUUUACAUAAUUUUAAAUAUUUAAAAUAAUGUAAUUCUUUAAAUUGAGACAAUUAGUUCUCACAAGUUUCAAUCUUAGUCAAAUUCCAUUCAACAACAUAUAUUACAAUUUCACUGGCUUUUUAUAAAUUAAUAAUUAACUCCUCAAAUUUUUAAAAAAAUAUGUUAAAAUAUUUUUUUAAUGGCUGUUAGGUUCCAGAUGACAGUAUUUUUCCCAAGUGUACGAAAUCGCUACAAGUAAUAUAUGAUGAUUAGAAUAUCGUUUCCAUGAGGAUUGUAUUACAAGUAAUUAAAAAUACUAAUUAAAGUAAUUAAAAAUACUAAAAAUUCUAAUAAAAAUUAUAUAAAAAUACUAUGAAAAUAACAUAUAUCACCAGACUCCAGAUCCCUUCCCUCGUUUCUUUAACUUGUAAUUUCUGCUCUUUAAUAGGUUUAUAAUGUAAUUCGUAAUGAAGUAUUUGAGAAAAUUGUAAUUGUGUAAUAAUGUAUUAUAGUUUAAUAUUAUAUUUCUUUGGGAUUGAUUUGUGUAGACUAAUCUAUGGAUCUAUUCAUGAAUUAAACAAAUGAAAAAUAUUUUUUAUUCCAUUAAUAUAAUUUAUGGGUGAGCUUAUAGAUCAGAUCUAAGUAAGUCACUGUGAAAUAUAAUAUUUGUAUAUUGCAAUAUCAGAUCAAAAGAUUUAAAUAACUCGGUGAGUAUUUACGAUUAUUUUUGUUUUGAUUUACUACCAACCAGUUUCCCGCAUGAGAAAUAUGAAUUAGACGAUGAAUGGAUUUCACGUUUCACAUUUCACAUAUACAGACAGACAUGCAUGCGUGAGUGUGAAGAAUGUUAGCAAAUUGAAAAGAUAUCUAUGUAUCUAUAUAAACACACACAGAGCAGGAAAUAUAUGCAGAGGACAGUUUCUGUUGCCGAGCCAUAAUUAAUUAUAUAUAUCAUCGAUCAUCAUUAUCAUCGAUCAUCAUUACCAGUUUCACAUGUAUUCUUUGCCCAUUUCAUGUUGGAUUUUGUGGUCUUGUCUUCUCAAAGACAUUCAUUCCGUAUUGAGGGUAUGGGGUACUGUACAAAUGUAUAUUGUCCUUUGCUUAAUUAGCUGUUUGUCUUAAAUUUUUUUAUUCCAUUUAUUUAUUACAGCCUGAAAAAACACUGUGAACUACAUCACUGGAUAGUUUUCUCUUUGCUCACCAAUUGAAUGAAAAAAUCUUAUGGUGACUGAUCAAUCCACCGCGUAAAGAGAGAGGUCGACCCCUCAUUUUGUCUAAUUUUAAAUAUAUGUAAUUGGUUUAAAUUAAUCCAUAAAGUUCAAUUUAUUUGUCUUUGACCCCUCCUUUUUUAAAUAUUAUAUAUUGAUUCUUGACAAAAGUAUUUAUAGAUUCACUACUGCUUAUGGUUGAAAAAUUUUAAAUUUGAAACUUCUCACUCUCUACAUAUAAGUGAGAAAACUAAUUAAAUUAGGGACUAUAUUUAGUUGGGUGUUAGUCUUUAAUCUUUGAAGUAAGAGAUUAGUAUCUUCAACUAGAAUAUGCAGCCAAAAAAUUUUUCUAAAAAUUAUUCUUUUAGUUAUUUUUAAUUUAUAAUUAAACCGACUAAAUAUUUAUUAGAAAAUUAAAAAUAUGAAAAUUAUUAUUUAAAAAUUAUAUUAAUCACACAUUAGAUUAACAUUUUACAUAUAAAAAUUAAAACAAUAAAAUAUCUAUUACUACUAGUGGUAAAAUAUGUAAAAUAUUAUUAAACUUUAUAAUUUUGACAGCAUAAUAAUUUUUUCGCAUCGAACUUGAAAAGGCAUAUGCCCAUGUAACAAUACCUCUGAGAUAGGCCCAUGGAUAUGGAAGACAUAGAACUGUAGAAGAAUGACAAAUUCGACCGUUGAAAGAGACAAGAAAUGUAGAAAUCCUGAAACCAACGUGCACUAAUGCUAAAGCCGCCCAUUAAUCCCUGUGCUCUUUUUUCUAUUAGCCCUGUCAAAGUAAGGAACCAUGGCAUAUAUGUACACGUCUCACCUUCACAUUGAAAAAUAAAAAAAAAUUAUAUACUCCUUUGGUUGCAUUCUCAUUUUGUUUGCAUUCUCGUUUUUUUGCGUGGUUUCACAGAACAUAUGUAUUAAAAAUUUAAUCAAUAAAUAUUAUUUUAUUAUUUUUUUUACAAUUAAUUUAUUAAAAUAUUAAUAAAAUUCUUCAUUUAAUGAAUAAUUUAUAAUUGUCAUUUUAGGACAUCUAAAAAAGAAUAACAAGCAAACAAAACAGGACAAAAAAAAAAAUAUAACUAUGAAUGCACGAAGGAGCGCAGAAAUUUGUUAAAAGAAAAGGGAGCCUAGAAAAUGAAAUGCUGCUAACACGUGUGCAACAACAUCUUCAGCUUAGCUCCUUAUUAGAUCAUUUUCAAUGCAACUAUGGAUUUGUUGGGAAAAUCGCUAUUUUUCACGCCCUUCGGAUCGGCUUCAAGCAGGAAUAAAUGAGAAAAUAAAAUAAUAACUGAGAAAUUAAAGAGAACACGAUAAUUUAACGCGGAAAACUCCCCAAGUGGAGAAAAACCACGACCGUUGUCAAACGACAAUCAAGAAAAAUAUUCACUAUGCGGCAAAUUGUUACAACCAUAAUUACAAAAUAUUUUUCUACUUGACACCCUCAAAACACCCCAAAUAUUUUAUACUCCAAGGGAUUCCAAAAGACUCCCUAAUAUAAAACACGUUCAAGUGUGUUUUGGUGUGUUUAGAAACCUAAACCUUAUUUCCUUUUAUAGCCAAUCUACUAUCCUCCAUAAGCUCUUCUCCCCGAUGUGGGAUUGAGCUAAACAAAUUUUUUAUAUAUUUUUUUUUUUUGUUUUCAACAAUGGCGGCUAACAGGAUUGCUUUUAUUUAUUUGUCACAUGAAAAAUUGAAAGUUAAAAACAAAAACCUUAUCCAAAGCUAUUGUUUGUUUAGUUUGUGAGUAUGAUGUGUAAAAAACAAAGAGACAUUGUCCUCACGCUCUCUAUUUCUAGAGGGUUUAUUAGACAGCGUGACUUAGCUUUUUGUUUUUUUCCUAUUUAUUCAUUUUUUUCUUAUUUUUUCAUUGUCCACUAUGCCUUCACUUUUAUUUGCGAUUAAACUUCUUCUUGCGCUGAAACUAAUUUCUUCUUCAUGUAUUGAGGAGCUAUUUUUAAAUCUAAAAUCUAUAAAUAUACAUUUAGCCACAUCAUCAUCUCCAACUUCUAUUUAUUAAGGCACAUUAGGUACAAUCCAUGAUUGCAUUAAAGAUGUUCUUACAAUUAUAAUAUACUUUCUACCUCCACAAAUAUAAAUCAUUUUAGGAGAUUUUUUUUAUUUGCAAAUAUAAGUAGUUUUGAAAAUAUCAAGACGAAAUUAAUGGUAUUUUUCAAAUUUACUUGUUUAUAUUAAAUGCAAUAAUUAUCUCUAUAAUUUUUUAAAGAGUAAUUUGAAUAAAUUGAUGAACAUUUCUUAUAAUUUAAGAAAAUUACUUGCUUCCUUAAUCACCAUGCAACAACUUUAAAUGAUUUACAUUUAUAGAUAGAUGAGGCAUUUUUUAUCUUUUAACAAUCAUCAAAUUUAGAAAUUAAACAUAUCUUAUAGUUGAAAAUCAAAUUAGCUUUGUGUAUUUGGUAAGUUAAGUUUGGUGUAUAAAUAGGAUUUUUGUAUUAUUUGUAAUCUUAUCGUUUCUUCCUUCUUGUUUGACUGCUUCAUUUAAUUAAGAGUUAUACUUAAUAAGUACUUUUAAUGAAUUGCAAUGUUUCUUUCCUGUCAAUAGCACUACAUGUGUUUAUUCUAUGCAAUACAAAUAUCGAAGGAAAUUGCUUAAAUAUUAAUAGUUGUAUAUAUAUUUGGCAAAAUUAACUGUUUUGGUAGCUAUUAGCUGUUUAAGUACCGUUUAGCGUUUAGCUGUUUGAGUAAUUUUUUAUAAAACUAUAAAAGCUAAAUUUUAUAUGAGUUAACUUUUUAUAAAACACUAUAUUAAUAUCUAAAAGUCAAUUUAAACGCUAUACUAUCAAAUACUAUAAAAAAUAUGAAAGUUUAAAACUAUUUAAAAAGCCAGCCAGUUAGAAUGAGAUUAGGCGUAGGAUUAGAAAUUGUAUAAUUCACUUUCUUUCUAGAUCGUUCCAUGCACCCCUACUACAUCCACAUGCAAAGGCCCUUCGAGUUGAGGGAAAUAUUAGGUGGCUAAUGCAUCCACGUGGUAUAAGUAAUUGGUAGGUGGGUGAUGUGAUAAUGAUAUGGUUAUCAGAAUAAGCAUUAACUAACAGAAAAAUAUAAUUUUUCCCAUCCGACUCUAUCACUUCAUUUAUAUUCUAAAUAAAUGAAAUUAAAUAUUUUUAUUGAAACCACUAUAUACAUACACACGUUACAUAGGCAUGCAAACUGUUGGCACUGUAAAAAAAAAAAAAUAAAUAAAUGAGGAUUAAAAAUUUUAGCAUAUCAAAUAUUAAAGUCUACAAAUUAUAGAAAUGAUUGUUUUACUUGAAUUCUUAAUUAAAGUAUUGAACGGAUUUGGCUCUAUGAAAAAACAUUUCAUUGACUGUUGAGAAUAAAUAAACAUUGCAGCAAAUAAAAAAUUGUAGGAAGGAUAUAAAAAAAAAUAGAAAUUGCUUGAAUUGAAAUUGAUGUAAUAAAAAGCAUUACAAAUAUGAAAGAGAAAAUGACAGUAAUUGGACAAGGAAAAUAUAAUGAACUAAAAAGAAUUUGGAACCGAGUUACUUAUUGUUUAGUUGAAUUUGUGGUGCAUUUUUUUUUUUUAAUUUUGGAAUAAAUUCAAACACAAAAUUUUGAUGUAAUACCUGAAAAAAUAAGGAAAUGAUUUAUCUACACUCAGUGUAUAAAUCUACAUGUAGACCAAACUAAGUAUAAACAAUGUGAACUAUUUUAUUCAAUAAUUUUACUUUAUUUUUUUUUUAGAUUUUUAAGAUUAUUACCUUUCUUUUAUUUCCUUCUCACUCUCUUUUUCUUAUAUAAGAAAUUUUUAAGACUUUAUUUCAGAGAGAAAAGAUAAGAUAAUGAAAAAUUAAAAAAAAAAGAAAUAUGAAAAAAAUAAAUUUUUAAUUAUUUUAAUAUUUCAGCAAAAUAAUUCAGUCAAAUGCAUUUAAUUUCUAUUUUUUUAAUAGUUCAGAAAUUCAAUUAUAAAUUUUUUCGUCGAAACACUAUAGAUAUAAUUAUUCCUAUUUAUACACACAUACUAAUUAUUAAAAACCUAAAAUCUGUGUUAAUGAGUCUUAAAAUUGAGUAGGUUAUAUAUAAAUAAUGAUGCCUUGGGACUCAAGUCAUCAUUAUUUAUUUAGUAUUCACUGUAAAUAGUAAUUGAUGAAAAAAAAAAAGAAUUAUCACUAUUCUUUAUUUAUUUUAGAAAAACAGUCAUCAUUCGUCACUAGAAAAAACAAAUUAAAACAUUAAACUGUAUGAAACUUUUUUUUAUUGUAUUUUUGGAGCAACAUGCUGUUAGAGUCCAUGUAAUUAUCUUAUCGUAUCUUGUCAAUUUCACUUUUUCAGAUUUUUUUUUUUUUUUUUUUUCAGAAAAGUCACAUUUUAAGAUCGAGAACUAAAAGCAUGAAAAAAUGGUGUUUCGCAUUUCAAGCAAAAAGAUACUAUUUUCUUAUGUUAACUCAUAAAUAUAUUAUACAUUCUUGAUAUUGGAACACAUGCCAUCGAAUAGGUAAUAUUUUAAUUAAUUCCCCAUUUCUUAAUCACUUUCACGUACACAAUAAAAAAAAUAUUUGAUAAAAAGAAAAGUAGCAUCUGCAAUUAAUCAAUUAAUAUAUGUAUGACAAUUGUGGCAUGAAACGAUGACAAUUUGAAAUUUAACUCAACUCUCGUGAAGCGUGGGUCCCAUCACUUUUUAUUGUUUAUUCAUUUUUCUAUUUUAGAUUUUAAGUUGGGUUACAAUUAUAAUAUAAGUUUAUAGUGUUUCAGGGAUUAAUUUGAUUUUAGGAUAAAAUCGUUACAACGUGUAAAUAAAUUUAUUGAUUUUAAAUGAAUUACUUCUACAUAGUCAUAUAUUAGUAUAAAUCAGGAAAUUUAUUUUUCAAUCAAGAAAUUUGACUUCUAUAUAAAUAAAUUUAAAAAUUCACAGAAAUAUAUUGUAUGUGCGUCUAAUGCACAUAAAUUUGACUCUAAAUUUUUGUCGAUUAUCUUUGUGGUCUCUUGAAUUUUGUGACGGUCCAAUUAUAACCUUACACUUUCACAUAUAACUAAUAACUAUGUCUCUCAUCGAAAUGAAAUAUCUUUACUAAAAUUCCAUAUCAAUGACUCUAUAUUUUCACAUUUCAUUUUGGUCAGGAGUAAAGUUAUUAUUGAAACCUGCAAAUGCAGGGUCAUGAAAGGUUCCCUGCAAAAUUCAAGAGGCCACAAAAUAAUCGCAGAAAAUUAUAAAGUCAAAUUUAUGCAUUAGGUCAUUAUUUAUGAGAGUUGAAACUAUUAGUUUGCUAAAUUUAUGUAAAAAAGAAAUCCAUCACUUACCAAUUAGAGAAUUUGUCAAAUAAAAGAGGAAAAAAGAAAGAAAGGUUGAUGUUCAAUUCAUAUAUAUAUUAUAUCGGGAUGAUGUCCAGCCCUUACGUAAGUUCAUUCAUAUUGCAUAUAUAUAAUCAUCACAUGGAUGUCAUUUUAAAAAUUGAUUUAAUCUAAUCAUCUAACCUAUAAAAACCCUUGACUUUGAAUUUUUGAAUCCAAAACCUAGCUAUGAUUACUUGAAUUAAACAUGUAAUACAAAUUCUACUAAUUUCCACCUCAAAGGUAACUCACAAUUUCUUGGGAAUAGAAGUUAAAUUCUUUAGCUUUUAUUUUUUUGUCCUUUUUAUUUUUAUUUUCAUUACUAUUUAAUUACAUUUUUUAUUUCAUAUGUGUUAAUUUUUGACUUCAUAUGUGUUAUUUAAUGAGCAGCGCUCUAAUAUCUUCUAAGAGAUUUUUCCCUAUCCAUUGUUUGAAGAUUUAUAAGUGUAACUACCGUUUUCAAGUUUUGGAAUGAAUGAAAUUGAAAUAGAAUUGAUUUACCUCCUCAAAUAAUUAAAAAAGAAAAUAUAAGAUUAUUGAUGUUCCGUUUAUUUCCAUAAAAUAACUUGAUGGAAAAUAUUUUUCUCCUUGAAAAAUAUUUUCCUAAUGACUUAUUUUCCAUUGUUUGAUUACAAUAUUGAAAAUUAAUUAAAAAUAUUAAAGUCUUUAUCUCAUAAGACCAUAAAAAAUAUUAAUAAUAGUAGAAAUUUUAUAAUUAAAAAAUUUUAUUAUUAAAUAUGAGAAGAAUGUAAAAAAAAAAAAAUCAAAUUAUGAAAGUUGUCGAUAGACAGUGGUGGUGGUAGCCGGAGGUGAUAGUCAGUGGUAAAAAGUUGACCGGUGAUAGUGACUACGAUGAUUAAUAAAUUAAAAUUAAAAUAUGGAUUUAUAAGGUUUGUCAAUAUUCGAAAAAUAUUUUACUUUCUCGAAAAUAAAAAGUUAUUUUCCUUAAAAAAUGACUUAAUUUUCUUUUGACUAAGAAAAUAUUUUCCGUUGAUUUAUUUUUCUGAGAGCCCAAACAAUAGAAAAUUGUGGAAAAUAUUUUACUGCAAGUUAUUUUAUGGAAAUCUGAAUUAAAAACCACUUCCAUACAUUGGCAACAUUGCCAUUGUCAUUGUACUGAUCUUUGGUUGGCGUCAUUUCUUGAGAAUCAUCACUACUAGGGAGAUUGAUGAAAAAACAUAUGAUCUUAUUCUCUGCAUCUGAGACAUUAUCAGAAAUCAAAUUCUUAUAAAAGGAGUCUCAAGGGGUUUCACUGUCUUCAUCACGAUUAAAAAUGUGGACCAAAGUGAUCUCUUAGUCCACUAAGCUCGCACGCCAUGAAUGCCUCUUCCUUGAAGCGAUGGUUUCCCCGUCAGGUUUUGUGUUACAGAUAUAUUCUCCAAUUGGAGGAAUUGAGGUCGUGAUUUGAAAAGGACUGAGAGCAUUUCAGAGUAAAUUAGGGUUCUAAAGCAUCUUUGCUUGUCUCGGAUGAGGAAGAAAGCUAAAAUGGGAUCAAAGAAAAGAUGAUAAAAAAUCAUUUAGGUCAUUUUAUGUUAAAUUGAUGGCAUUGUUAUUAAACCCGAUCCGAACAUUGACCCAACAAAAAGAAUCGAAUGGAUGAGUUAUUGAUUUAAUCAAUGAGUUAAUGAUUCAAUUAGCAAGUCAUAUAAAAUAUUAAUAAUAUAUAUUAUUUCAGUAAUUAUAAUUUAAAAUAAUUAUAAUAUAAUAAAAUGUAACUUAAAAUAUCAAAAAAAUUUGAUUCGUGUAUGUGCUGGUCAACCAGUUCAACAUUGACAACCGGUUCAAUCCGAUUUUCUUUCCUAAAUAGUUUAAAAACAAAAUCGGCUUAGUUUUUAACCCGUUUCACCAGUUUUCAAGAUUCACCCGUUGAGUCGAAACAUGUCACUAUACUUGGGGAUAAAAGUAUUGAAAAAUAGUUGGAAGGGUGUUGGUAGAUUAAUAGAAGCAAAAUAGAGGGAAAAAUUAGUAUAUUUUAAAGGCUUAAUGACUAAAAAAAGAAUUUGAAUUUUGGCAUUUUAACAAUUUUGGCCAAUUCUUUUAAUUGCUGCAAUUAAUACUGCGAAAUAAUUUUUUCUUAACAAUUGUAGCCUCCGUCCAUCAACCUUUACUGUUGUGCCGAUGUGGCCGUUAGUGGGACCCUCGCCAUGACAUGUUACCUGCUGACAGUAAAUUUGCAAGAUAUAAUUAUUAAAAAAAUUGGCCAAAAUUGUUAAAAAAACCAAAGUUCAGAGUUUUUUUAAGCCAAAGUUCAUUAGUUUACCAAUUUUAGCCAACAUUAUUACAUGCACAUCAAGACAUAAUCUAGCGGUAAGAGUAUAUACAACUUGGCAAUAGAUCCAAUUUUUUUUAUUAAAAUCAAUUUCUAAUAUUUAUGUAAUUUAUUUAUCAAUAAAUAAUUUUAUAACUUGUAAUAUUCAAAUUUAAUUUGAUAAAGAUAGUUAAAUAUUUUAUAAAUUUUGAUUAUAAUAUUUUUUAUUUUAAAUGAUAUGUUAUAAUAAUUAAUGACAAACAAUUAAUAUUAUGCUAAAAAAAUUAUUUCAUUUUGAUAAGAAUUAAUUGAAAAUAAUAAUUAUAUGACAACAAAAUAAAUGAAGAAAAAAAAAUUGAAAAGGAAAUUAUAAUUUGAAAAUUCGAAAGGUGCUAAAGAGGUGCUAAACUUUAUAAUUAAAAUAUAAUAAAUUUCAAUAAUGAAGAUUGAAAAAAUUUAUAUUCAUGUAUAAAUUUCUCAAGAACGGUUAGUGUAAAAGUAUUUGAUGUUAUCCUUCUAAAGAAAAGAACAAGUUUAAAUAAGACGAUAAUGUUCUUGAAGAGUUCCUACGAAUAAUACUAUCAUUUUUGGAAUUAAAGCAGAUUUACAACAUUUGGUUUUUCCUCUCUUACUAUGUUGAUAAUUUUAUUGAAUCUUUAGAUUUUCUUUAAUAUUUAAUUAUUAUAAUAUGAGUGCCGACAAUUUGAAAUGACUAAAAACACUCUCAAUUUUUUUCCUGAAAUUGACCUAAAAAACUUGAAUUUCAGCAUUUUUAACAAAUAUGGCCAAUUCUUUUAACUAUUAUACUUUGCAAAUUUACAGUUAGCAAGUAAUGUGUCAUGGUGAGAUUCCAUUAACGGCUAUAGUAGUAUAGUAAUAAUAGUUAAUGAAUGGAGGCCACAAUUGUUAAGAAAAAAUUAUUUCGCGGUAUCAAUUGUACCAAUUAAAAAAAUUGGCUAAAAUUAUUAAAAAUAAAAAAGUUCAGAUUUUUUUUAAUCAUUAGGCCUAUUUUAAAAAUACGAAUGUAUGCUUAUUAUUUUUAGCAAAUAGCAAAAUAUAUUAAUAACAUAUAAUCUUCCCAUAUAAAAAUAUCCAUACCAAAAAGCAGAACCGUGACUAAUAAAUAUUCUUUCCAUUCCAUUUUGGUAGAAAUAAAUGACCAUUUUUACUUUGUUCUACUUUAAAUAUUUAUUUAGGAUUUUGAUGGUAUAUUAAUAUUUUUUUUCAAUUUUACCCAUAUUUAUUGGGUGUAUUUUAUAUUUUAUAUUUAUAUUUAUAUUUCUCGUUUUAGUCAAAUUAAAAUUUUUGCGACACACAUAACUAAAAAGUUUUUCAUUAUUUUAAGGGAUGAAGAAAAGGAAUGGAAGUACUAUAAUGGUGAUAUUUUAAUAUGAAAUAAAAUUAGUAUUCCUUUUGUAAUAAUGUUAAAUGGAGAGUUUUUAAUUUUAAGAAAAGUAAUUUAGACAUAAUAUUAUGUAAUUUUAUAAAAUCAAUAUAUUUCAAUUAUUUUCUUAAUUUUUAUUAAAAGCUAAAAUGUUACAAUUAAAAUAAGACGGAAAAAAUAUAAAUUACGAAGAUAAUAUGCUUACGUUUCAUAUCUUUAUAUGAAGCUGGAAUACUAACCUUUAUUUUACAUCCAUUUUAGUUCAUUAAAUGAUUGUAGACGUAAUUUGCAGUUCAUUAAAUGUCUAAAUGUCUAAAUCAUUAAAUUGAAGUAAUAAUUAUUAGUUAUAGACAAAGGAUAAAUAUGAAAAAAAUAUAUUUAUUACUUAUUGAAAUUACAAAUGUGACAAAUAUUCUGGACCGAAAGUAGUAGCUUUUAGCGUUUUGACUGAUCAAAACACUAAAUUUUGUGGUCUCUAAUAACAUAACAUUUGAAUUAGUUUUUGUAGAUUAAUAUAGAAUUUUAUAAAAAGUUAAUUCAUAUAACAUUUAACUUUUAACGUUUUAUAAAGAGCUGUUCAAAGAGUUAAUAGCUAUCAAACUAGCUAAUUUUGCCGAAUAGAUCUUUAGACGAAUGUGAAACGAAAGUUUUUUGCGCACUUCUAAAUUUUUUUAGUGCUUGAAUUUAAUAAUUAAUAUCGAAUGUUUAUUUUAUAUUAUAUAAAAUUUGGCACUCAAAUUUAGAAUUUAGUUUUUAAAAUUUAAUAUAUGAAAAGAAGUAGAAAAAGAAAUACUACUGAUAAUAAUGAUAAUAAUAACAAUUUUUUUGUUUGUAUAUUUUGUUCUCUUGGAUGUUGACAAUGACUCUAUAAUGGAAUGGUGAGAUGAGGCCGUACUUGAUGGCGGCGAACUGGUUAUGAAUAAGCCACGUGGUGGUGAAAGAAACAAUAAACACUAAAAUGAUGUUGAGCUUGGGCGCCACCUUACGGUUUUCGGAACCGACGGAUGAGAAUUAGAAUCGGUUCGAAUCAAAAUUAGAACCAGUGACCUACGGUUCAGUUUUAAUUCUAUUAUUUUUUAAAUUAUAAAUCGGUGAUUAUAAGAACAGGUCGAAACCGACGGUUUUUCAGUCGGUUAGAACUGAUUGUUGGAAACAGCAAUUCCAGCAGCUUUUUUUUUUAAAUAGUUUUGUGAAAUCUCCAAAUUACGUCUCCUAACAACUAUAAACGGCUACAUAAGGGCUAGUUUUAAGGCUAUUGUGGAAAAAUAAUUUUUUAGAUUUAUUAUAAAUAUCCUUUUCCAUUUAUAAUCCCUCAAACAAAAUUAUCUCGACUCUCUCUACUCUAUAUUAUUCUCUACUCUAUAAUCUCUCCAAUUUUCAUUUAUAAAUUAUUGUCCAAAAUAUUGCAAAAUAAUUUCUUCAAAGUCGAAUCUUCAAUUAUUUGUCCAAAUUAUUGUCAAUUAAUUUCUUCAAAUUAUCCAACUUUUUAAAUAAAAAAUAAAUUAAGUGAACACUUUUUUUAAAAAAAAAAAUAACUUUAGUUCAGGCCUUUUUUAAAAAAAAUAAAUUAAGUUCAAGCAUUUUUUAAUUUUUUAAGGGUAUUUUUUUUAGAAAUUAUUUCACAGAUUUUUAAAAUUUAAAUUUUGAAAAAAAUGUUCUCUAAUUUUUUAUUUUACAAUUAUGCGAUUCCCCGGAAAACCGGUCAGAACCGCCUAUUUUAGAACCAUUAAGGAACCGGACCAAAAUUGUAACCGUUCGAUUCCAAAUCGUAACUAGAACCAUCAAUUUCCAAUUCGAUUCCUAAAUCGAAACCGAAGAUUCCGGAACCGUGGCCAUCCCUAGUUGAUCAAUAUUUUUUUAAAAUAGUUUUUAGUGUUUUAAUCAAGUUAAAAUUUUAUUUUUAUUAAUUAUAUUAUUCGGUGAUAUAGUAUUCGUACUAGUUUUAGAGGUUGAAGCAACUUUUUAUCAAAUGUUAGAUACUCUUAACAUUUAACAUCUUAUAGAGAUUAUUUAAAUUUUUUUUUACAAUAAUAUUUAUUAUUUUUUUCUUUGAACACAGCUAAUUAAACAACUAUUUUUUACUUUUAAUUUAAAACACUAUAUAAAUAAUCUAUGUGAACAGCUACAACAACAUGUUCUCUCUUUUCAUGAGAGUUAGGGUUGCUUCUGCAUGGCGGCUAGGGUAUCGUUUGCGCAACGAUGAUGUUCUCUUUCUAUACUGGUAUAAUGUUCUUGUGUCUUUGUUUUAAUCCCUUUAUCUUUGCUUUGUUUGUUUUUCUGCUUCUCAUUUUUUUCCUUUGGACUCCUGUUUUUGUUUGUUUAAUUCUUUUUAGGGUUUUCUUAGUUUUGUCUUUCUGUCCUGUUUGUCUACCCUUUUUAUCUGUUUAUUUUUUCAUUCGCUAAUUUGUUUCCCCCUUUCCUAUACAUCAUGGUUCUGUAGUGCUAGCUACUGAGAUGGAGAACCAAAAUACUGUCCCAUUACCGAAGCAUAAGGAAAUGAGAGUGUACACAUCAAUGGAGGCAGAAGAAUUAGAAGCGAAUGUGGUUGAGAAUUGUAUGAAUGAGGGGAUGGCUAAAAUUCUUAGCACGAAGAUAAGCCCUUUUAUGGGAUGGGAUUCCGAUAGUAACAUGGCUUGAGGCAAAUUUAUCAGAUUUCGUGCAUUACUUGACUUGGAAAAACCCCUUGCUAGAGGCUCGAUGGGUAAGCUGCCUUUUUGGAAAUCUAUCUGGAUCCCUUUUCAGUAUGAGGUAUUGCCCAAUUUCUGCUUUUUAGAUGGCAGGUGUGGUCAUACGUAUAGAAGUUGUGAUGAUUAUGAUUUUGGGGAACCUUACAAUUGGAGAAUAUGUUAAAUGGGGAUUCGUUGAAAGCCUCGCCUUUAAGGAAACGGAGAAAGAUUAGUGCUUCGGAUCGUACUAAGGGUAGGGGGGAACCUGUGGUUAGGAAAAUGAGUUCCCAGGAUAAUACAAGUGUGGCACUAGUAAUCAAGAAGAUAAUGGAAGCGAGGAACUUGUGAAUUGUUAGGAAGGGAGAGAAGAAGUCUAUUCAACACACCUCUAUGUCCCAAGCUACUAACAUCCUUAAUUGGUUACAAGAUUUGGUGGUUAAUGGUACAAAAAAGAAUAUGGCUCCAUCAAGCCAUGAACAAAGCCGUAUAAGCCAUGAUGUUCCAAGUCCGGCUCCUGCUGACCCAUAUGCUACUACUUCAGCUCCUGUUCUUACUGUCCCAAACCCAGUCGUGACUGACCCUUUACCCUCCUUUUCUUGCUUCACAGACCUUAUACAUAGUCACCAAACUUUAUUGUCUAGUUCACCUUCUCCCAUCCUUGAGCCUGAACCUGACCCACGUUUGCACCCAGUGAAUAAACAACAAAAUUCAAAUUCUCUUUCCUCUUAGAAAAGAAAGGCACGUAAGGGAAAGGGAAGCACUGUUGAAUCUUGGACAAUGCCCUUAUUUCAUUUCUUAAAGAAUAAAUAUAAAGGCCGAGGGUACUUUGAAAUUAGAUAUGAGUAAAACAUAUGACCAAGUGAAAUGACAUUUUUUAAGAAAUGUUUUGCUUAGAUUUGGUUUGGAUGUGAAACGGACGGACUUGAUCAUGAAUUGUGUUUCUACUGUUUCAUAUUCUUUGCUUAUUAAGGGGGAACCAACGAAAAAAUCUGGAAAGAUCGCUGACUUACGGACCCGAAUCAUUCCUGAAUUAUAUCUCCUCCUAUGAUUUUAGAUGAGAAUGCGACUGUGAACCGGCUUAUUCUCCAAGACCCAAAGCAUUGGAAUGUGGAUUUAAUCUCAUCUAUUUUUGAUCCGUUGGAAGCUAGGAGCAUUAUGUCUAUCCCUCUCACCAUGCGACGUACUAAGGACGUUUUGGCCUGGCCUCUUUCAAAGUAGGGUUUAUAUACAGUACGCAGUAGGUAUCAUAUGCUGCCUGAGGCAAAAUUGUCUGGUUUGUACAGCUUCUCUUCUAAUCUGGUGCGUUCAACUCAGUGGAAGCAGAAUAUUCCCCCUAAGGUCAAGCAUUUUUGCUAAGAGCUUGUAUAAAUCACAUUCCUGUUGCUGAUGCACUUGUACACAAAGGUAUGCAUAUUGAUCCAGUUUGCUCCGUCUAUGGGUUGGCCAUGGAGAACACCAUGCAUAUUUUAAAAGUCUACAUCAUAGCCCAACAUUCUUGGAAAUUUUCUCCUUUAAGGCUCAUAACGUUUGAUUAUCGAGUCUCGAGUUUCCAGGAAUGAUUUGAGAUUAUUAUCAGUAAGUUUCAGCAGGAGCAUAUUGAGCUUUUUUCGAUGACUGCAUGGCAAUAUGGCAUUCUCGCAACUUGGUCAAGUUUCAGCAAAAGCGAUUGACAUUUGAGGAGAUUACCCAGAUGGCUAUUGUCUGCUCAACAGAUUUUCAGCAGGCGAACGAGAUGGAGGUAGAUUCCCAAGAUGUUACUACAGAACAGAAAUGACAGCCUCCUUCGCAUGGUUGGUUUAAGCUGAAUGCCGAUGCAUCGAUUAAGGAGGUGGUGGGCUGUGGGUACGGUUUCAUUAUCCGUGACGAGGAGGGGAAUGUAAAUAUUAUGGGAUUUGGCACUCAAUGUUCUUAUGUAGUCAUUCCUCCUGAGGAAGCAGAAGCUGAUGCUGCUAGCUUUGGUCUUUUUAUGGCGAUGGAGUUGGGCUUUGCUUCAAUAAUUCUGGAAACGAACUCUCUUAUGCUAGCUCACCACAUGAAUGCUCAACAGUUUCCUCUCUCUGACUUUGGUACUAGCGUCUUAAACACAGAUAUGUUAGCUGCGAAUUUUGGCAAUUCAAAUAUGUUCAUGUUAGUACUAGGGUCUUUAGAGGACGUUAUUUGGGUGGAGGAGGCCUCACCUCUAUUGAGAAUUUUGUUUUUGUUGACAAUCCUUUUCUGAAUUUGUAAUAUUCCAACUUGAUUUUCUCCAAAAAAAUAAAAAUAAAAAAAUAGUGAACAACUACUACAUAAAAUAGUUAGUAUUCCUAAACAUACCCUAAAUAAAUAAAAUAAUUUUAUUUACUUCUUUUUAUAUAAGAUAAACCUUACAUUACAUUUUUUUUUUCAAUCAAAUGAAAUAGUUAAAAUUUUAGAUUUGUUAUAAAUAAUGAAAUAAUGAUAUUACAAGAAAUUCGCUUUUUUCUAACUAAAUUUUAAAACUCAGCGUCACAAGGUUAGUCCAUCUAAUUAAAUUGACUGAAUUUCUUAACUAAUUUGUUAGUAGAUAUAUUUUCCAAUCAAUGCUAACACUAUAUAUGUGUGUGAGAGUUCAUACUAUCAGCAUCAACUAAAUUUGAACAGCAAUCAUAUGGAAGUAACAAUUGUUAUGUAAAAUAAAGUAGAAAACAUGAAUUGAUACAAAAUUAACCGAAAUUAUAAAUAAAAAAAAAAAUUCUUUUUCAUCUAGCCUUUUACCAUAUAUAAUUAUCUCUAUUCUUUUAGAUAAUCAAAUAAUAAUAUGCAUUCUUUAAUUUAGCCUUUUAUAUUUUUCCCCAUGUAACCAAAAAAAAAAAAAAAAAAACAAAUUUUAACUAAAUAUACGGCUAAAUAAGCAAAUAAAAUUAUCUUUUAAUAACUAAACAAACUGUCAUUUAUUUGGUGAACUUUGUUAUUCUUGAUGAAAUCAUUUCUCUGAGUGACCGUUACCUGUUUUUUAAUUAACCAAUGAGAUUUUGAUGCAAAGUUGGUGGCACUCACAUUAUUUUUUGACAAUUCACUGCCUCUUCAUCUGUAAAAAUUGAGGCAUUUUCCAAUUAAGUGAGAAACAUGUGUUUAUUAGACACCGGUACACAUGGCAUAAGAGAUCAUAAUUAAAAAAAAAAAAAUGAAUAUAACCAUAGAGCAUAAUUUUUACCCUUCCACCGACGCCGCUGCUUCUCCCAUGUCGAACUUGUAUCCUUGCUUUUACAGUGUGGCUGCUAACUAGUCAACUAAAAUCUUAUAUUAGUAAAAUGAAUAUAUCUUUGAGCAUUUAUAACUUGAAAAAAAUAUAUAUAGAGAGAGAAUAAUUUAUCUAAAAAAAUUAUUUAUUUACAAUACUUGGAGCAUGGAGCAUGACCAAACAAUAAGACUUCAGAUUUUUUUUUUUCUUUUUGAAAUGUAUAAGACUUCAGAUUUUGGUUCAGAUGUUGGAUUCUUUCAUUCCAGAUAUUAUAAAGGAUUCUUUUUUAACUGAUUUAUCAUUCAUCACUCCUCAUAUAACUGAUAUUUAUGUCUGUUAAAAUGUUAUUAGUAAAUAUUAAAAAAAAGACAUGCUAAAAACGUUUUUUUUUUUAACUAAUGAACGUCGUUUUCAGAUAUUUUAUUAUUAACUUUAAUAAACAAUUGUAUAACCUAUCAAACAAUUAAUUAGAUAUAUUUCUUCUCAGGAUUUAUUAAAUCGUGUAGAACGUUGCGUUUGCUGGGUUCCACCUAUGGCUGCUUUUCUCAAGUUGAAUAAGUAAUAAUCAAGUUAUCUAUGAAUUAUGGUUCAAUUGAUAACAAAGACUAAACUUGCGGAAAGAGUUUUUAGGUUCAAUUUCGUUAAAUAUAUUUGUAGGAAGGACCAAAAAGAUUUAAUUGUGACUGAGCCUCGAGCCAGAUUAGACGGUUAUUGAUAAUAGAUUUCAAAUUCAAAAAAAAAAAAAAAAGAAAAUAAUAAUAAUAAUCAUGCUCUGUGGUGGUGGUUUUUUGAGAGAUCAUUUGGGUAAUUUGCGCGUCAAAUACUAUGUGCCAGGACCCAAAGACAUUGUUGGUAUAAGAUUUAUCUAACUCAUCUAUAUAUUAAAUUAAUUCAUGAAGAAUUUUUUUAAAAAAAUAAUACUAUUUCAGUAUUUUGAAUAAUUAAAAAUACUUUCUAUCUUAAUGAAAAAAUUGGUUUUGAUAUCUAUAUACGGAUAUAGAAUAUAUAAUAUAGAAUGUAGAAUAAGUCUUUCUCAAUAUUAUCAUCCACUUAUAAUGUUAGAUUCUAGUACGAUGCAAUUGAAUUUUUUUUAUACAAGAUCCUAUUCUACCCAUGCCCACUGAUAUUUCUUAUACACUUCCAGAUACUCCAAACAAUGUAUCCUUUCAGUUUAUUAAUUUAAUUUUAUUAAUUUUGACACUUCUAAAACAUUUAAAAAUUUUAUAAAACUUUUAUAUAAAUUUAUUAAUAAAAAAUUUUGGAUUGUGGUAUUAAAUAUAAAUUAAAUAAUUAUCUGCAGUUCAAAUAAAAAAAAAAUUAAAGGAUAUGUAAAAGAAGGAGAGAAAAUACGCAAAUCAUUAUUUACAAUUUGUAAGUUUAUUGGAUAUAUAUUUAUUAUUGUCAAAUUUAAGAAUAAUAAUUUGAAAUUCAAGAACUCACAUGAUUUUAAUUAUAAAAAUUUUGGGCUUCUAUCAAGUAAAAGCCUACAAUAUUAUAUUAAGCGAACUAAAAUAUGGGGUGUUCUAUAAUUGGAUUUGAUUCUUUUGAAAAUAUUGAAACUUUUGAGGGCAAUUUAUAUAAAUAACCCCUAGAUGAAGGCCAUAAUUUUUAACAAAGACAUUGAUAUUAAAGAAUUAACUAAUCAUGUUGGAGCCAAGUUACUGUUGUUUAGUUUAUAUUUAUGUGCAAUUGUGAUUGAUUAUUUUUUUAUUUAAAUUUUAACAAAUUAUAUCUUUUUUAUUUAUUAAGAGGCUCAACAAGUUGAAACAACAUUUUAGCUAUAUAAUAAAGGUAAUUUUGAUCACUAAAAUUGAAAAAACUCUUGUGGUCAGAGGACUAGAACCUCAAGCCUUUCACUCUCCACUUCUAAUAUAAGUGAAAAGAUGAAACAAACCAGACAUUAUUACUAAUAAUAAAUUAUAUUUUUUUAAUAUAGUAUGACUUGCUUUUUUUUUUUUUGUUUAAAUUCUAGUAUUUAGUGUUUCGUGUGACUUUAUUCAAAUACCACUUACUAUUUAAGUAUAAAAAAAAUGUGUAAAUAAAAAAAUAAUAAAAUAAUAAAUGGUGAGCUAUUAUUAAAUGGGAGGGCAAAGUAAAUUUUUGAUUUAAAUUGUGUAUGGUAUAAUAACAUUAAAAUUGCUUUUUUUUAUUGUUAAACUUAUCCACAAAAACUUACCAUAAUCAAAGAAGAUCGCACAACGUUAUUCUCAUGUCGAAUAACACUUACUCCUGUUCAUUCCAGUUUUUAAUUAUUACUCGUUAGAUUUACUUAAUGGGCCGCAGAUAUGCGUGUUAGCUUUUAGUUUGAUCAUUUUACAUUAUAAAAUAAAUUAUUUACAAUAAACAUCAAAUCAAGAUUUAACUCACUAAUAAUAAACCCAUAUAAAUACCCAUCGAAAGCUACGUGCAUGUUAUCCAGCAAAAGCAAGUCUCUUCUCUUUCCUCUUUCACACGCUCAUUCGCCGUAGCUCUGGACUUGAAAUCCUUUAGGGAAAAACCAAUAUGGCCACGAACGUCUCCUCCACAGCUUUCCUUACCUCAGCCGCCGCAGCCACCUCCCCCUCCACUAUCAACACCNNNNNNNNNNNNNNNNNNNNNNNNNNNNNNNNNNNNNNNNNNNNNNNNNNNNNNNNNNNNNNNNNNNNNNNNNNNNNNNNNNNNNNNNNNNNNNNNNNNNNNNNNNNNNNNNNNNNNNNNNNNNNNNNNNNNNNNNNNNNNNNNNNNNNNNNNNNNNNNNNNNNNNNNNNNNNNNNNNNNNNNNNNNNNNNNNNNNNNNNNNNNNNNNNNNNNNNNNNNNNNNNNNNNNNNNNNNNNNNNNNNNNNNNNNNNNNNNNNNNNNNNNNNNNNNNNNNNNNNNNNNNNNNNNNNNNNNNNNNNNNNNNNNNNNNNNNNNNNNNNNNNNNNNNNNNNNNNNNNNNNNNNNNNNNNNNNNNNNUUUCACCUGCUAAACAUAAGUGGCUGCACGACAAAAGAACAGAAGAAGCUGAUAAUCUUGUAUUUUAUAUCCAUAACCAGUACAAGGCCAACAAUAAUGUCAAUCUGCGACUUGCUGCAAGGCAUUAUUGUGGAAAUGUGAUAAGAAAAAUGAUGUUCAGUAAAAGAUACUUUGGUGAAGCAACGCCAGAUGGCGCACCGGGACGCGUGGAGAUAGAACAUGUGGACUCAGUUUUUGCUGUUUUGAAAUACUUAUACGCAUUUUGUAUUUCUGAUUUCAUGCCUUUCUUGCUAGGGCUUGAUCUUGAUGGACAGGAAAAAUUUGUUCUUGAAGCUAAUAAGACUUUAAGGGCUUUUCAUAAUCCUAUUAUAGAUGAAAGGAUUGAACUGUGGAGGAGUGGUCAAAGGAAGGAAAUGAAAGAUUUGCUUGAUGUUUUUAUUACUCUUCAGGAUUCUGAUGGAAAGCCAUUGCUGACACCUGACGAGAUCAAGAGUCAAGUCGCUGUAAGACCUUAAAACCUAUAUAUUUACAAGCUUAAAUAUUUUCCUGAUUCAAGAUAUUUUGAUUUUUCCAUUUGUUGCUUUUUUCCUUUUUCAAGAAUUUCAAUAUAAAAUAAGAAUUUCAAUAUAGAACAUAAAUCUUACAAAUUCAAGAAAUAAUAAAUAUGAUAUUUUUAUCUGAAAAAAAAAUAAAUAAAUACAUGUGUAGAUUCUUACAAAAUCCUGUAUUACAAAAAUUUUGCAGGAAGUUAUGAUAGCAACAAUAGAUAACCCUUCAAACGCAGUGGAAUGGGCCAUGGGAGAAAUGCUAAACCAACCAGAAAUUCUCAAGAAAGCAACAGAAGAAAUAGACAGGGUGGUCGGAAAAGACAGACUUGUCCAAGAAUCAGACAUCCCUGAUCUUAACUAUGUCAAGGCAUGUGCAAGAGAAGCUUUUAGGCUCCAUCCUGUAGCCUACUUCAACCCACCUCACGUUGCUGCGCAAGACGCUGAAAUUUGCGGUUAUUUGAUCCCUGAAGGUAGUUGGGUCAUGCUCAGCCGAUAUGGUCUGGGCCGAAACCCAAAGACCUGGCCUAACCCACUCAAGUACGACCCUGAACGCCAUUUGAAUGAAGGAGAAGUGGUUUUGACCGAACAUGGUUUGAGAUUCAUAUCAUUUAGCACGGGAAGGCGCGGUUGCAUCGCGGCUUUACUCGGAACUUGCAUGACUACUAUGUUAUUGGCAAGAAUGCUUCAAUGCUUUACCUGGAGUCUGCCGGAUAAUGUCGAAAAGAUUGAUCUUUCCGAAGGGGUCGACGAGCUUUUUCCGGCCAAUCCCGUGGUGGCUUUUCCAAAGCCACGUUUGGCUCCUCAUCUUUAUCCUACUUCGCCAUGAAUGAAUGAAUGGAAGGAUUUUAAGAUAUGUAAUUAAUUCAGAAUACUUUGAAAUCUGAAAUAAAUAAAUAAUAUCUGACUUGCAUGGUUAUUAUGUUAGGAGGUGAAAUUUAUGAGUAGAAGUUGCAUGUGUUGGUGGCUUUAUUGAGAGUAUCUUUACAACGCUUCUGUAUUUCAUCAAUGGGUUGCAACUGUUUCAUUAAGUAAAUUUGCUAUUAAUUAAAAAAAGCCUUUCUUUCAUUUCUUUUAAUUAAUGUAGGCUUGCAACUUUAUAAUCUUGAACCAGUAUUAGCAUCGAUGGAAAUAGACUCAUAAACAAUCCGCCAGAAUCCCAAUAAAUGUAUAUAGAUCCAAAGGAUUUCAAAAUCAAUUGUAAAAAGAAGAAGGGAGAUAGAAGAAGACCCAUGCAAGCUCAUAGUUGUAAAGUUUCGAUAGUUGAAUGUGAAAGAAUUUGUAUUGUAUUGUUGUACGAUUUACAUUAUACGACACCCUUUAUAUAGGUGUACAAGAUAUGCACAAAAAGAAAAAAAAAUGAUCAUAAUAGGAUACACUAAGAUCAAAAUUAGAUACAUUAAGAUCAAAUUCAUAUAAACUUGGAUCACUUAGAUUUUAUUCUCGUAUUAAUAUGGAAAAUAUCAAUAGAGUAGAUGAGCAGUACAUAUAUAGAAGAGAGAAGGAAGGAGUGCAAGAGAGUUCAGAGUUGCGAUGCUGAUAUGCAGUAGGCAGUAAGUAUCAUAUGCUGCAUCAGGAAAAAUUGUUUGGUUUGUACAGCUUCUCUUUUAAUCUGGUGCGUUCAACUCUAUGGAAGCAGGUGUGGAAGCAGAAUAUUCCCCCUAAGGUCAAGUAUUUUUGCUAAGAGCUUGUAUAAAUCAGAUUCCUGUUGCUGAUGCACUUGUACACAAAGGUAUGCAUAUUGAUCCGGUUUGCUCCGUCUAUGGGUUGGCCAUGGAGAACACCAUGCAUAUUUUAAAAGACUACAUCAUUAGCCCAACAUUUUUGAAAAUUUUCUCCUUUAAGUCGCGCUUCUCUGAUAUCGAGCUUGUAUCCUCGCCUUUACGAUAGAGCUGCUAACUACGUCAACCAAAAUCUUAUUAGUAAAAUAAAUAUAUUUUUGACCAUUCACUUGGGAAUAAAUAUAUAAUGAGAAUAAUUUUUUUUAAAAAAUUUCUAAUUUAUUAAUUUAGUCAUAAAUGCAAACAUAGAUUGAAUCUAAGCAAAUUUUAUAUUCUAAAAAAAUAAUAGCUAAAACCUUAAUAUUUAUUAUUUUUUACGAGACUCCUCUCAGGACGAGAAUUCUACUAUUUAACUCUUUCUUUCAACAAUUCAAUAAUUUGACCCUAAUAAAACUCAAAUGUUUUGAACACCCAACCUGCUAAAUUAGAAGGUAAAUAUUCUUGAGAUAAGAGGCAGUAACACUCCUGAUAAAGGUUUUUUUUUUUUUUAAUGUAUAAGACUUCAGAUUUCGGUUCAGAUGUUGGAUUCUUUUAUUGUGACUGAACCUCAAGCCAAAUUAAACAGUCCUUGAUAAUAAGUUUUCGAAUGAAAUAAUAAUAAUAGCCAGAACUCAAAGACAUUGUCGGUAUAAGAUUUAUCUAACUCAUCUCUAUAUUAAAUUAAUUCAUGAAUAAUUUUUAAAAAAAAUUGUCACUAUUUCAGUAUUUUGAAUAAUUAAAAAUACUUCCUAUCAUAAUGAAAAAAUUGGUUUUGAUAUCAAUAUACGGAUAUAGGAUAUAGAAUAUAGAACAAGUCUUUCUCAAUAUUAUCAUCCACUUAUAAUGUUAGAUUCUAGUACAAUGCAAUUGAAUUUUUUUUUUUUUUCUUAGAGAAAAUUUAUUUAGAUCAGAUCUAUGACCCUAUUUAUAAAUCAAAUCAAUCAAAAUAUAAAUUUUUAAAAAAUUAUUUCCAUUUUACUUUAUUUUCUUCCUAGUGAAUAGUCAAAAAAUACACUCAUUAACAGGCGGGAAAAGCUUUCAGGUUCAAUUCCAUUAAACACAUAUGUAAAAAGGACUAAAGAGACUUAAUUGUGACUGAGUCUCGAGCCAGAUUAGACGGUUCCUGAUAAUAGAUUCCAAAUCCAAAAAAAAAAAAAAAAGAAAAUAAUAAUAAUAAUCGUGCUUUGUGGUGGUGGUUUUUUGAAAGAUCAUUUGGGUAAUUUGCGCGUCAAAUACUAUGUGCCAGUAGGCAUGGCCACCGGUUCGGUUCUAACCGGAACCGAACCGGAACCGAACCGUACUGUAGACGAACCGGAACCGGACCGAAACCGGCGGUUCAUAAUUUUGAACCGGAACCGGCGGUUCAAGGGCUGGUUAAGGUUCAUGUGGAUGUUAAAAUAUGAACCGGAACCGGCCCNNNNNNNNNNNNNNNNNNNNNNNNNNNNNNNNNNNNNNNNNNNNNNNNNNNNNNNNNNNNNNNNNNNNNNNNNNNNNNNNNNNNNNNNNNNNNNNNNNNNNNNNNNNNNNNNNNNNNNNNNNNNNNNNNNNNNNNNNNNNNNNNNNNNNNNNNNNNNNNNNNNNNNNNNNNNNNNNNNNNNNNNNNNNNNNNNNNNNNNNNNNNNNNNNNNNNNNNNNNNNNNNNNNNNNNNNNNNNNNNNNNNNNNNNNNNNNNNNNNNNNNNNNNNNNNNNNNNNNNNNNNNNNNNNNNNNNNNNNNNNNNNNNNNNNNNNNNNNNNNNNNNNNNNNNNNNNNNNNNNNNNNNNNNNNNNNNNNNNNNNNNNNNNNNNNNNNNNNNNNNNNNNNNNNNNNNNNNNNNNNNNNNNNNNNNNNNNNNNNNNNNNNNNNNNNNNNNNNNNNNNNNNNNNNNNNNNNNNNNNNNNNNNNNNNNNNNNNNNNNNNNNNNNNNNNNNNNNNNNNNNNNNNNNNNNNNNNNNNNNNNNNNNNNNNNNNNNNNNNNNNNNNNNNNNNNNNNNNNCAACUCAUUCCAUUAAUUUUAUAUUCCAUUUAUAGUUUUUUAUAUUAGUAAAUUAGCAAAAUUUGAAAAUUUAAUAUAAUAAUAGUUCUAAGUUAGUUAAUAGAUGUUUUUCUUUUAAAAUUUAUAAUAAUUCAUUUAGUUAAUAAAAUUUAAACAUUUUAAAAUUAUUAUUUAUUCAUGAAUACGGAAUCAAAAAUUUUAUUAUUUUUUUAAAAAUUUGCGUAAUGCCGGAACCUAAUCGGAACCCUAAUUUGAACCGUCGGUUCACCGGAACCGUGCUGANNNNNNNNNNNNNNNNNNNNNNNNNNNNNNNNNNNNNNNNNNNNNNNNNNNNNNNNNNNNNNNNNNNNNNNNNNNGGCGACCCAAACCCGGCGGUUCACUGAACCGGCCAUGCCUAUGUGCCAGAGCCCAAAGACAUUGUUGGUAUAAGAUUUAUCUAACUCAUCUAUAUAUUAAAUUAAUUCAUGAAGAAUUUUUUUAAAAAAAUAAUACUAUUUCAGUAUUUUGAAUAAUUAAAAAUACUUUCUAUCUUAAUGAAAAAAUUGGUUUUGAUAUCUACAUACGGAUAUAGGAUAUAGAAUAAGUCUUUCUCAAUAUUAUCAUCCACUUAUAAUGUUAGAUUCUAGUAAGAUGCAACUGAAUUUUUUUUAAAAAAAUAAAAGUUGUUUAGAUCAGGUCUAUGACCCUAUUUAUGAAUCAAAUCAAUUAAAAACUAAUUUUUUAAAAAAUUAUUUCUAUUUCUAUUUUAUUUCUUCCUUGUGAAUAGUCAAAAAAUGCACUCAUUAACUACAUGCUCGGGAGAAUUUUAUUACCUACUGAUGAUUUUAGUGAAAGUUAAUUACAUCUUCAGGAGAGUUAAUUUUAUUAGCAAGAUCAACCGUUCAAAAUUUGGAGCCGCUACGAUUGAUAGAGCUUGCUUGCAGAUCCUAUUCUACCCAUGCCCACUGAUAUUUCUUAUACACUUCCAGAGACUCCAAACAAUGUAUCCUUUCAGUUUAUUAAUUUAAUUUGAUUAAUGUUGACACUUCUAAAACAUUUAAAAAGUUUAUAAAACUUUUAUAUAAAUUUAUUAAUAAAAAAUUUUGGAUUGUGGUAUUAAAUAUAAAUUAAAUAAUUAUCUGCAGUUCAAAUAAAAAAAAAAUUAAAGGAUAUGUAAAAGAAGGAGAGAAAAUACGCAAAUCAUUAUUUACAAUUUGUAAGUUUAUUGGAUAUAUAUUUAUUAUUGUCAAAUUUAAGAAUAAUAAUUUGAAAUUCAAGAACUCACAUGAUUUUAGUUAUAAAAAUUUUGGGCUUCUAUCAAGUAAAAGCCCACAAUAUUGUAUUGAGCGAACUAAAAUAUGAUAUUGAAAAUGAGUGCAAUUUAUAUAAAUAACUCCUAGAUGAAGACCAUAAUUUUUAACAAAGAUAUUGAUAUUAAAGAAUUAACUAAUCAUGUUGGGGCCGAAAGUUACUGUUGUUUAGUUUAUAUUUAUGUGUGAUUGUGAAUGAUUAUUUUUUUAAUUUAAAUUUUAAUAAAUUAUAUCUUUUUAUUUAUUGAGAGACUCAACAUUUCGGACUAUAUAAUAAAAAAAAGUAAUUUUAUUCACUAAAAUAGUGAAAAUUCUUGUGGUCGAGAGGACUUGAAUCUCAAGCCUCUCACUCUCCAUUCCUAAUAUAAGUGAGAUGACACAAAUCACACGUGAUUCCUAAUAAUAAAUUAUAUUUUUAAUAUAGUAUGACUUACUUUUUUUUAAAAUUCUAGUAUUUCAUGUUUCGUGUCUGUAUUAUAUUAAAUUUCUUGUUCUAUAUUUAUAUCUAUGCAAUAUAAGAGAGGAUUUUAUUUAAAUACCACUUGCGAUUUAAGUAUAAAAAAUAUGUAAACAAAAAAUAAUAAAAUAAUAAAUGGUCAGCCAUUAUUAAAAUGGGAGGGCAAAGUAAAUUUUUGAUUUAAAUUGUGCAUGGUAUGAUAGCAUUAAAAUUGCUUUUCUUUAUUGUUAAAUUGUGUAUGGUAUUAUCAAAGAAGAUCGUACAAGUUAUUCUAGUUUUUAUUACUUGUUUGAUUUACUUAAUGGGCCCCAGAUAUGCGUGUUAGCUUUUAGUUUGAUCAUUUUUCAUUAUAAAAUAAAUCAAGAUUUAUUUUAUAAUAUGGCCAUGAUUUGAUCAUUUUUCAUUUUUCAAAUCAAGAUUUAACACACUAAUAAUAAACCCCUAUGAAUACCCGUCAAAAGCUACGUGCAUGUUAUCCAGCAAAAGCAAGUCUCUUCUCUUUCCUCUUUCACACGCUCAUUCGCCGUAGCUCUGGACUUGAAAUCCUUUAGGGAAAAACCAAUAUGGCCACGAACGUCUCCUCCACAGCUUUCCUUACCUCAGCCGCCGCAGCCACCUCAACCUCCACUACCAACACCAUCAAAGCUCUACUCGUCACCCUAUUUAUCUCCAUUGUUAGUACAGUUAUAAAACUUCAAAGGAGAGCUGCUCUCAAAAAAACCACCAAAAUUCUCCCACUACCUCCCGGCCCAAACCCCUGGCCAUUCGCCGGAAACAUACCGGAAAUGACCCGGUAUAGACCGGCUUUCCGGUGGGUUGAUCAACUCAUGAAAGAAAUGAAUACCGAUAUAUGUCUUUUUCGUUUCGGGAGAACUAAUGUUAUUCCUGUCAUUUGUCCGAUUUUUGCACGUGAACUGCUCAAGACAAACGACGCCAUUUUCUCUAACAGGCCAAUGAUUCUUUCUGCUAAAGAAAUAAGUGGUGGUUAUCAAACUACCAUUGUCGUCCCUAACAAUGAUCAGUGGAAGAAAAUGAGAAAAAUAUUACCUUCAGAAAUUAUUUCACCUGCUAGACAUAAGUGGCUGCACGACAAAAGAGCAGAAGAAGCUGAUAAUCUUUUAUUUUAUAUCCAUAACCAGUACAAGGCCAACAAUAAUGUCAAUCUGCGACUUGUUGCAAGGCAUUAUUGCGGAAAUGUGAUAAGAAAAAUGGUGUUCAGUAAAAGAUACUUUGGUGAAGCAACGCCAAAUGGCGGACCGGGAUGCGUGGAGAUAGAACACGUGGACUCAGUUUUUGCUGUUUUGAAAUACAUAUACGCAUUUUGUAUUUCUGAUUUCAUGCCUUUCUUGCUAGGGCUUGAUCUUGAUGGACAGGAAAAAUUUGUUCUUGAAGCUAAUAAGACUUUAAGGGCUUUUCAUAAUCCUCUUAUAGAUGAAAGGAUUGAACUGUGGAGGAGUGGUCAAAGGAAGGAAAUGAAAGAUUUGCUUGAUGUUUUUAUUACUCUUCAAGAUUCUGAUGGAAAGCCAUUCCUGACAUCUGACGAGAUCAAGAAUCAAGUAGCUGUAAGAACUUAAAACCUAUAUAUUUACAAGCUUAAAUAUUUUCCUGAUUCAAGAUAUUUUGAUUUUUACAUUUGUUGCUUUUUUCCUUUUUCGAGAAUUUCAAUAUAAAAUAAGAAUNNNNNNNNNNNNNNNNNNNNNNNNNNNNNNNNNNNNNNNNNNNNNNNNNNNNNNNNNNNNNNNNNNNNNNNUAAAUAAAUACAUGUAUAGAUUCUUACAAAAUCCUGUAUUACAAAAAUUUUUCAGGAAGUUAUGAUAGCAACAAUAGAUAACCCUUCAAACGCAGUGGAAUGGACCAUGGGAGAAUUGCUAAACCAACCAGAAAUUCUCAAGAAAGCAACAGAAGAAAUAGACAGGGUGGUCGGAAAAGACAGACUUGUCCAAGAAUCAGACAUCCCUGAUCUUAACUAUGUCAAGGCAUGUGCAAGAGAAGCUUUUAGGCUCCAUCCUGUAGCCUACUUCAACCCACCUCACGUUGCUGCGCAAGACGCUGAAAUUUGCGGUUAUUUGAUCCCUGAAGGUAGUUGGGUCAUGCUCAGCCGAUAUGGUCUGGGCCGAAACCCAAAGACCUGGCCUAACCCACUCAAGUACGACCCAGAACGCCAUUUGAAUGAAGGAGAAGUGGUUUUGACCGAACAUGACUUGAGAUUCAUAUCAUUUAGCACGGGAAGGCGUGGUUGCGUCGCGGCUUUACUCGGAACUUGCAUGACUACUAUGUUAUUGGCACGAUUGCUUCAAUGCUUUACUUGGAGUCUGCCGGAUUAUGUCGAAAAGAUUGAUCUUUCCGAAGGCGUCGACGAGCUUUUUCCGGCCAAUCCCGUGGUGGCUUUUCCGAAGCCACGUUUGGCUCCUCAUCUUUAUACUACUUCGCCAUGAAUGAAUGAAUGGAAGGAUUUUAAGAUAUUUAAUUAAUUCAGAAUACUUUGAAAUCUGAAAUAAAUAAAUAAAAUCCGACUUGCAUGGUUAUUAUGUAAUUAGGUUAAUGUAAUAAAGUUCAAGAUGAAAUUAUGUAUUUAGUCAUUUUUAAGUUUAUGUUUAUAUAUUAUUAUGAAUGAUUAAUUAUUUAUUCAAAAUUUUAAUUAAAUUUUAAUAUAUUGUGGCAUAUUUUUUAAAAAAUUGUCAUGUCCAUUGAAUAAUAAUUUAAGUGACUAUUUUACGUGUCAUAUUAUGUCUCAUUUCCCAUGUCUAUAUCUAUGCAAUGUAUAUAAGAGAAGGCGUUACAUUGAAUAUAGAUUAGAUAACAUGAGCAGCUCUUUUUUGAAUUUUGUUAUAAAUAUCUAAUAUAAGUCGUGAGCUAUUAUAAAAUGGGAAGGGAAAGUAAAUUUUGAUUUCUUCAUUGAAAUUCAUUCAUAAAAACUUGAUUUUAUGUGUCAAAAUACGUCCAACUGUGCAAGUUUUAUAAUUUGACUUUAUUUUGAUAUUAUUUUUAUCAAUUUUUCCUUAAUAUCUAUCUUUAUAACAAUUACAUCCUCAAUUGCAAUUAAGGAUGAAAUUACAAAUAAAAAAAUAUUUUCAUUAUUUUUUAAAUUAAUAAUAAAAAUAAUAUUUUAUGUUCCUUGAAUAUCUAAUUAUAUUGACAUAUGGUUGAUAGUCAUGAAAAUAAAAUAAUUAAGGAGUUAGUUAUAUUUUUUAAUUAAAUGAAUAAUUAUUUAAGUAUAUUACCAAUCCAAAAAUUAUAACAAUUAGGUUUUUUUUUUUCAUCCUUAAAUGCAGAUAAUAUGAAAAUAAGGUUCCUAUUUUUAUUUCUUUAGAUUUAUUUUUAUGUCAUGUUUCAGGAUUUUUUGUUUAGUAAUAUAAAUUUCUAAUAUUAAAUUAUUAGAUAACCCAUUUAUUUUAAAAUUAAAAUUUAAUUUAUGUAAGAUUAAUUGGAUAGAGUAAUGGAAUGUUUUUAUAUUUUUAUUUUUAAAAUUUUCAAAUUGUAACAUGAUGAUUUAGAAAUGUUGGAAAUACUUUUUUUAUAUUUGUAAUUCUAGCAUUAAUUGCCGUGGAGUAAAAUUGAAGUAAAUGGUUCAAAUUGAAGUAAAAUUAAUAAAAAAAAACAUUAAAAUAUAGGAAAAUUGUUACUUUUUAUACAUCAAGUCAAUCUAUUUAAAUUAUUACUUUUUUUAUCCUUUUUAUAUAAGUAAAUGAUAACUUAGAGAAAUACUCUGGUUUGAAUUAAAAAGUUAUUUUCUGAUUGGUUUAGCCCAUCAUAUACGAGGAGUAGAUAAGUUAUUUCCAUUGAGUAAAGUCCUUCAAAUAGCAAGCACACCAAUUUUGAAUCCUUNNNNNNNNNNNNNNNNNNNNNNNNNNNNNNNNNNNNNNNNNNNNNNNNNNNNNNNNNNNNNNNNNNNNNNNNNNNNNNNNNNNNNNNNNNNNNNNNNNNNNNNNNNNNNNNNNNNNNNNNNNNNNNNNNNNNNNNNNNNNNNNNNNNNNNNNNNNNNNNNNNNNNNNNNNNNNNNNNNNNNNNNNNNNNNNNNNNNNNNNNNNNNNNNNNNNNNNNNNNNNNNNNNNNNNNNNNNNNNNNNNNNNNNNNNNNNNNNNNNNNNNNNNNNNNNNNNNNNNNNNNNNNNNNNNNNNNNNNNNNNNNNNNNNNNNNNNNNNNNNNNNNNNNNNNNNNNNNNNNNNNNNNNNNNNNNNNNNNNNNNNNNNNNNNNNNNNNNNNNNNNNNNNNNNNNNNNNNNNNNNNNNNNNNNNNNNNNNNNNNNNNNNNNNNNNNNNNNNNNNNNNNNNNNNNNNNNNNNNNNNNNNNNNNNNNNNNNNNNNNNNNNNNNNNNNNNNNNNNNNNNNNNNNNNNNNNNNNNNNNNNNNNNNNNNNNNNNNNNNNNNNNNNNNNNNNNNNNNNNNNNNNNNNNNNNNNNNNNNNNNNNNNNNNNNNNNNNNNNNNNNNNNNNNNNNNNNNNNNNNNNNNNNNNNNNNNNNNNNNNNNNNNNNNNNNNNNNNNNNNNNNNNNNNNNNNNNNNNNNNNNNNNNNNNNNNNNNNNNNNNNNNNNNNNNNNNNNNNNNNNNNNNNNNNNNNNNNNNNNNNNNNNNNNNNNNNNNNNNNNNNNNNNNNNNNNNNNNNNNNNNNNNNNNNNNNNNNNNNNNNNNNNNNNNNNNNNNNNNNNNNNNNNNNNNNNNNNNNNNNNNNNNNNNNNNNNNNNNNNNNNNNNNNNNNNNNNNNNNNNNNNNNNNNNNNNNNNNNNNNNNNNNNNNNNNNNNNNNNNNNNNNNNNNNNNNNNNNNNNNNNNNNNNNNNNNNNNNNNNNNNNNNNNNNNNNNNNNNNNNNNNNNNNNNNNNNNNNNNNNNNNNNNNNNNNNNNNNNNNNNNNNNNNNNNNNNNNNNNNNNNNNNUAUGGCAUAUUUCCAAUUAACCAUACGUCAGAAAUUGUAUUCUUCCUUUUAGGAAAAUUUAAUUCACUGUUGCAGUUGUUUUUUGAGGGAGAACUAAUUGGGUAUUAACAGAAACAAAAAGUUUCUUUUUUUAUGAAAUUUUAUUUGAAAUUUCAUAUUCUUAUGUUUGGUAAAAUGAAAAUUUACUCAUUUUAAUUUUCAUAGAUUCCAUUAGUGAUUGAGAUUUUAGUGUACUUCCUUGGAGCAUAAUUCUUAUUAUUAAGUUAAAAAAACAAGUUUGUGUUAAUUAAUUAAUAUCUAUUUAAAUUGAUUGAUUCAAGAUAGUUAUUUUUAUUUAAUUAUUCUCUAUUCAAAAGCUAUGAAAUUGCAGUGAUAUAAGGCUGCCUUACCAGAUUUUAGCAUUGUUGAGGACAAAUUAGAAUCGUUCUUUCUACUUCUUUUUGUAUGUAAAGAAGAGAAAUAUACAAAACACCAAGAAAUGGUUUCAUUAUACAAACUGUAACUACACAAAUUUAACAUGAAAAAGAAAAAACAAUGGAGAAAAUCUCACUUGAGCAGUCAAACUUGUAUGAGAUCAUGGAGCAUUUUCUUUUUUUCUUUUUUAAAUACAUGAUCCUACAUAAAAAGGAAAGGAAAUAUCAAAGCUGACCCAAAAAAAGGUACUACGUGCUUCAACAAAUGCUGUAGAUAAUUCUGCAACAUCAUCUUCCGCCAGAUAGCUCGAUAGCAUCCUGGUUAUAUAAUGAAUCUUCUCCCCAGUCAAAUCUUCUUUGCAGCCUUUCAUAUUCUUGCCUGCGCGAAACCUCAAUAUGCUGCCACUCUUCCCAUCUCUCAGCCAGACCCUCUCCUUCUAACAUCCGUACCACCUCUGACAUUGCUGGACGAUCCUCCGGCGACGCUUGGGUACAGAGUAAAGCAACCUGGAUCAUCAUCUCCACCUCCUGAAUAUUGUAAUUUUUAUUAAGGUUGCGGUCUACAAUGGCAUCCAGUCUUUUUUCCCUCUCCAGCUUCUUGACCUUCAGAUGCAAAUUUUAGACUAGUAUAAAUAACUUUGUAAGUGUAGGCAGGAAGCAGAGAAAAUACAAGCAAAAUAAUAAUGAAUUCUCAUGCUCAGUUAUCUCACAAGGUCAAGCAAUAGGACAUCGUCCUCCUCUUCCAAGCGCGCAAAGUCAAUUGCUCGUUGACCCGUUACAAGCUCUAGAAGCAUAAUACCAUAACCAAAGACAUCUGUUCUCUCAGAUGAUUUCCCAGUAGAUAAAUACUCUGGAGCAAUGUGGCCCAUCGUCCCACGAACUUGAGUUGUCACAUUAGUCUUUCUCACAUCCACCAACUUCGCCAGGCCAAAGUCACCAACAACUGCUUCAAAAUCUUCAUCCAAUAGUACGUUGGCAGCCUUCACAUCCCGAUGAAUAAUCUUAGGAUUGCAAUGUUCAUGAAGGUAUUCAAGCCCACGUGCUGCACCUAAGGCCACCCUUUUUCUUGUUGCCCAAACUAAAACAGGCUCCUCAGGCUUACGUUCU